CUAUUCCAUGUUUAAACAUCUGUUUCAUGCAUAUUUGAUCAAGGAAUCAACACGGAAAUAAGAAAUUCACAAAACCCAAAAAAUUGCUCAAGAACACGAUUUCAGAAUGUGGAGAUUCGCGGAGUAUACCUGUCUUAGGGUGAAGACGAGUGUAGGAAUCAGGUAGAGCUCGAAAAAUCAAGUGGAAUAGAGCCCAAAAUUGUUCAAAUCGGAUGAUUAUAGAGAGAGAAAGGGGGGCGAAUUAUAGGGGAAAUCGGAGGGGAUGAGAGUUCUAAGGUUUAGAUCCAAAAAAGGUCGGGUUUUGCCUUAUAAUUCUGUUUUCCGAACACGCAUCGAUCGAUGCGUUUUGUUUCUAUAACGCAUCGAUCGAUCACAUUCUUACGGCCCGGGCCAUCUUGGUAAUCGAUCGAUGCGUUUUUGUUCUAUAACGCAUCGAUCGAUGCAUUUUUGUUCUAUAACGCAUCGAUCGAUGCGUUUUUAAAAAAACAUACAAGAUUUUCCGAGGAAAUUCUGAGGAACAAUUCAGAUUGUCGAUCGAUCGAUGGGAUACUCUCAUCGAUCGAUCACAAUCUUACGGCCCGGUCCAUCCUAGUAAUCGAUCGAUGCGUUUUUGUUCUAUAACGCAUCGAUCGAUGCAUUUUUAAAAAAACAUACAAGAUUUUCCGAUGAAAUUCCGAGGAACAAUUCAGAUUGUCGAUAGAUCGAUGGGUUACUCUCAUCUAUCGAUCACAAUCUUACGGCCCCGUCCAUCCUAGUAAUCGAUCGAUGCGUUUUUGUUCUAUAACGCAUCGAUCGAUGCAUUUUUAAAAAAACAUACAAGAUUUUCCGAUGAAAUUCCGAGGAACAAUUCAGAUUGUCGAUAGAUCGAUGGGUUAAUCUCAUUGAUCGAUCACAAUCUUACGGCCCGAGCCAUCUUAGUAAUCGAUCGAUUUGUUUUUGUUCAAAAACGCAUCGAUCGAUGCGUUUUUUUAAAAAAAUUACGUUUUGAAACCCCAAACACUAGUUCGUCGGAAUUUCCUCGGAAUAUUCCGAGGAUAUUUCGAGGAAGAAGAGGGUUUCGUCGGAGUUCCCUCGGAAUAAUCCGAGGAAAUUCCGAGGAAAUAGGGUUUUUAAACCGAAAACAACGUUUUGCCGUUUGAAUAACACCUAUAUAACCCUUAUUAAGUGUCUUACGUUCAUUAUGAAGUCAAAAAUUUGUUCCUUACCGUAUAAUUAACACUUUUCCGAUUGUAUGAACGAAAUCUCGCAACAUAAGAGAAACACUUAUACCUUUUAACGAACGGUAAAGGGAAUACUUUCAAUUAGUUUUGAAAUUUGUUAUUUCAUGGUUUAUGCUCAUGUAUACAAAGAAUCCUCAAUGGUAUGCAUUACAAUUGUAUAAGAAAUGAAAUACGGCAAAAAAAAUUGAUGUUUUGAAACCCCAAACACUAGUUCCUCGGUAUUUCCUCGGAAUAUUCAGAGGAAAUUCCGACGGAUAUUUUACUAUCUGUCGGAAUUUCCUCGGAAUAUUUUCAUUUUACCGGGUAAAUAUUUCGCGAAAAUUGAAAUUAGAAUUCCGACGGAAUUCCGACGGAUAAUGUCCGUCGGACCCUAGGUUUUAUAACCACGAGCCCCUUCUUCUUCCCCAUUUCUCUCUUCUUCCUCUGCGCGACUCCUCUCUUUCUCUCCGGCGAUUUCCCCCUGAAAUCCGACGAUAUCUCCGGCGAUCUCCCUCUUCUCUUACACAAAUCAUGUAAGGACCCUAUCCCACUCUCUUAGGUUCUAUUUGUUAGGUUUUUGUGUAGUUUUGAUAGAUUUUUGUUAGGGUGAUUGGUUAGGAUUGUGAUUUGGUUGUAUAAUAGGUUUAGAAUUGUGAUUUGGUUGAAUAAUUUGUUUUGUUGAAUUGAUUUAGAAUUUUUUUAUAAUUUUUUUAUUUUUUGUAUUUAUAAAAUCGAUUUUUGUAUAUAAAAUCGAUUUUUGUAUUUUACAAAACGAUUUUUCUAUAUAAAUUCGAUUUUUUGGAUUUUACAAAAAAAAAUUUCUAUAUAAAUUCGAUUUUUUGGAUUUUACAAAACAUUUUAAUUAUUAAACAAUUUUUAUUUAUUAAAACUAUUUUUUGUUUAUUAGAACUAUUUUUAUAUAUUUAUUAAAAAAAAUUAAUAUAUAUAAAUUUGUUUCUGUGAUUAAAUUAUUUGGGAUUUUUUUUUAAUAAAAAAAAUUAAUUUAUAUAUUUCUGUAUUUAUUAAAUAUAUUUUUUUAAUUUACAGGUCUCAUGAUGAUCAGACCCGGCCUCGACAGCGUCGUGGUCGUGGUGGUACGGAGAGCCAGUCUCGGGAUUCCAGCCAUUUUCAGGAUUCCCCUUCGCCCCACAGCUCCAACCAUACAUCUCCCUCUGCUGCACCCGCUCAUGCUCCUCUCGCUCCCGCUGCUGCAUCCGCUCCUGUUCCUCCGGGUCCUCCGGGAGUGAUGAAGGUUGCGGAGUUGGUUCAACAGCCCAGUCGUGACCAUCUUCCGUAUCUCACUCCGUAUCAACAUGGACGGGGUCAAACUUGGUAAUUAAACAUUUUUUUUUCUUUAAAUUAGGAUUCAUUAUUAACCGUUUGUUCUUUUAAUAAGGUUCAACCGAUCCGGGAACGGGAUCAGCGCAUGGAUCAACCGUAUGAUGUACUCGGCCCUCGACAGUGGACAUCCGACUUUCACUCACUUCCCAACCGACAAGCAGGUUCUGUGGUUUCGUCAGUUUGCGGUAAGUAUUCUAAUUUUUUACUUAUAUUUUUAAUCUUUAAUAUAAAUUUUCUACUAAUUGUGUUUUUUUUUCAGCAAGAGUUCAACUGGAAUUCCGAUGAGACGCUCUUUAUCUAUCACCACUUCGUCCAUAAAGUAAUGGACAACUAUGGGAAGCAGAUCCACGAGUGGAAGAAGAAGUGGGAAAUCAAUAAGGUUCGAUUUAAUUUAUUAAACAAUUUUUUAAUUUAUUAAACAAUUUUUUAAUUUAUUAAACUUUUUUUUUUUUAAUUAAAAGGUCCCAAAGUCGAUGAACGACACGGUCUGGAAGGAGUUGUGUGCGCAUUGGGAUAAGGAGGAGACGAAAGAAACUUCUUCCACCAACUCCACCAACCGCAGGAGCGACCGUAAUGGGAAGGGCAUCUACAAGCAUAACUUGGGUGCUCAAUCUAUUGCCACUCUCGGAGAUCGCAUGGUAAGUUCAACCGUUUUUUCUUCAAUUAUUUGAGUUUCAGAAUUUAAAUUUAUUGUGCAUUUCUUCUAAUUUCUAAUGUUUCUUUAAUUUUAUGUUUUUUUUCAAGGCGGAAGAAAAUGAUGGCGAGCCGGUCGAUGAUCUCGCCCUAAUGAGGAGGGCGUAUACCAACAAGAAGACCGGCCAGAUUGAUGACGGUCUUGUGAGGGACGUGGUCGACCUGGUCCAAACUCAGUUGGUAGACGAAGUGUCUCAGCUUCAAACCGAGGAUGACGCUUCGACGGCUUCGACCAACUUGUCCCGGUUUCGAAUCAACGAAAUCGUUGAAUCCGUAAGUUCUUUUUUUUUUAAAGUUCAAUUCAUUUAUUUCUUGGCUUAAAUUUCUAAAUUUGGCUUUUUUCUAUUCAGUCGGUUCCAAAGAAGAAGGGACGUUUGUUCGGUUUGGGUCGUCGAACCCGGUCGGUUCCUCCUUCUUCUGCACCACCGCCCUUUGUUGAUCCAGAAGUACUUACGGCUCAGUUGAAGGACAAAGAUGAUCGAAUAUCUUUGUUGGAGACCCAGAUGGCAGCUCGACAGGCGGGCUAUGAGGCACAGAGGAGGCUGAACCAGUAAAUGAUGGAGAUGAUGCAGAGGAUGUACCCGAACGAGGUGUUCCCGGACGUGCCAGACCUGUAGUUUUUUUUUUCCCCAAUCUCGGAAUGUUUUAUUUUUAUUUGUGAAACUUUGAAUAUUAAUUAGUAUGAUUUCAAUUUUACUUUUAAUUUCAUAUUUUCGAAUUUAAAUUUCAGAAAUUUUAUUUUUUCAAAAAAAUUAAUAUUUUUUACAUUCCGAGGAAAUUAAUUAUAUUUUUCACUAGAUCGAUCGAUGCGUUUUUGAACAAAAACGCAUCGAUCUAUCCGUUAUUUUUUUAAAAUAUAGCGAGGGACAUUUCCCUCGGAAUUUUCCGAGGGACAACUCCCUCGGAAAAUUCCGAGGAACGGAUCCCUCGGAAUAUACCGAGGGAACAGUUCCUCGGAAUAAACCGAGGAAAAAGUCCGUCGGUAUACUCCUAUCGAUCGAUGUAUAUAUGUCCAAACACGCAUCGAUCGAUGAACUUCCGAGGAAUUAUCCCGACGAAGUUCUACCUCGGCAUAUUCCGAGGACUUUUCCGACAAACAAGGGAUCCUCGGAAUUUCCUCGGAAAUUUAUUUCCUCGGAAUUCCGUCGGAAAAUUCCGAGGGAUUUCAGAGGAAAAAAGAAAUUCCGAGGAAUUAUUUCCGACGACGUGUUUCGUCGGAAUUUCGUCGGAAUAACGAUAUUCCGACGAAAUUCCGACGAUUUUUUCCCUCAGAAUCCUUGAUGUUUUCUUGUAGUGCGCGAUCUCACUAUCAUUAGUAAGUAUUAACUAUACAUAUUCAUAUUGCUUAACUCUCGUACUAAUUCAAGUCAAAGCAGACUUUAACCAAUAUUUUCACAAGUUCUUAUCAUUAACACAAGAGACAUGAAGAGCAAAGAUGUUAUGCAUACCUUAAAUUGCAAGAACUGUAUCAACAUCGUUGGUUGAGUAGCUUAGACCUCCUCCAUACUUCCUUGGAUUGUUAGCCCAUAAAGUAAAUAUCUGCAUACCCAGAAUCCAAGUAAACGACUGUGAUUUGAAAGUUCAUCAAUAGAAAACUAAUUCCUAACUGAGUCCACUUAAUGAGGUAUACUAGAUGAGAGUAUGCAUAAGAUUAUAGUGUCAACUACUUACCAGAGAGUAUGAGUAUCAUGUAGACACAGAACACAAUACACAAUGAUAGAUGAAAUGAGGGGCUAAUUCUUCAACAAAGACCCUGGCACCUGCAGCUUCAAGUAUUUUGUAUGAGUCAACAUUUGAUGUGUUGUCCUGCUUAUGAUUGUGCAGCGUUUCCUACUCGGAUACAGAUAUAAGACACUCGUUAGAUAACUCCAGAGAAGAAACCUUGUGCCAAUCGCCAUCCAAAUGUUUUAGCUCAAGCCAAAAAAGAGCAUUGAAAAUGGCACUGCAAUGACCACCUAAUCAGUUAAUUAAACACUUGAGGGGAGGUACAAUAGCGAAAACAAAAUGCAAAAAGAAUUUUAUUUAGUGUUCAAAGCAAAACAAUUGUUUAAAAUUCUGAAUCAUUGUUUCAAAAAGAUAUAGUCCUUUGUAGUGGUGUGAAAACAACUAGAAUAAUACAUAUAUUUAAUGAUAUUCAUCAAUUUUAUUUUGUGUGUUUUAAAAAACUACAAUAUAACAUGUAUUAAAUACUUUAUAAUUAAAAAUCUCUCGAAAACUUAUCAAAACUAUACUAAAAGCAGGAUAUAAUGCUUUAUGGAGGUGUCCACUUCGGAUGAUAAAUUCCACCAGUCAUAUUACACCAAACGGCCACGUCAUCGGUGAGUUAAGUUGGUUUGGGCUUCUGAUGUUUUCGGUUUGUUUUAUCUGCAAGUUUUCAGCCCACAGUCUGCAGAUGCUGGCCCGAUGUGUUACGUGUUGUUGUCGUAACCCUAAUUUGUUCUCCACUCACUUUUCGACUUCCAUCUCUUCCAUCUCUCUUUUCUCUGAACCCGUUUGCCGAGUAAUAUCGCCAUUAACUCCUCUAAUCAAACCUUGGCUAAGCUCAUUCAAUGGAUUCUUUUCGCCUUCCUCUCCAUUUUUCUAUUUAUAAAUCUGUUUUCCUAGCUUAUGUUUCCAUCAAAGUUGAUAAUUUUCUCUCUGACAUUCAUCGCGAUGGAACACACCGGCAAAUCUUCGAUCUCCACCGACCGCAAGACCAGUGAGAAGACCGUCGACUCCUCCGCGUCUGUGAAACCAAACGGGAAGUCCAUUGAUGCCUCCGUGACUGUGAUGAAACCUAACGAGAAGGCUGCUGUUUCAUUUGCCAAUCCGAUGAACCCAGACGCUGCUACCGCUCUCUCCUCCGCGUGUGUCGACCAAGUGAUGUUGUUCAGAGAUGUUUCCCACGGCCCACGCGAAGCUGACUCGAGGUAUCGUUUGAUUCACUUCUGGGAGGCUCGCAAUCCAAACACGAAAACCCUUAUUGGACAAGAGAUGCUCCUUAUCGACGAAGAGGUUUGUCUGUCUUUUUAGCUUCUUCCUCUUGCUUUAAUAUUACUCGGUUUGGGAGAGUAUGGACUCUUACUUUAGUAUUGUUUGAUUGGGAUAGUAUUAUAUUAAUCGAUGAUUUGGAUUUAUUCACAGGGUACCGUUAUUCAGGGUUUUGUCCCAGCCGGACGUGUUGGGACAUUUGAUCUGGUAGCUGGUUCUGUGUAUAACCUGAGCAACUUUUUCGGAUCCAGAAGCAAAGAUCAGUAUCGGGUUGCUGAUCAUGUCGCCACCGUAUCAUUUUCUUGAGAACCCUCCGGUUUCGAUUCCAGAAGAUAGGUUCAGGUUCCACACAUAUGAGGAAUUUAAGGCCAACUGUGACUCCAGGGGUGAUCUUUAUGGUAGGACAUGUUUGACUAUUUAGAUUAUAUGACACGUUUGGUAUAUUGUUAGAGUUGACGUUUGAUGUCUGCGUAUUUAAAUUGUUCUAUCUUAGAUUUUGUUGGCCACAUGAAGCUGGUGAAUGGACAGAGAAUCACGGACCAUAUGAUUCUUGACGAAGUUGACAUAGCAGAGAAGCGGCAUUUAUGUGUUCAUGUUCAGACACAUGAGUAAGUUUUUCUACUGUUAUUGCUUUCAUUGUUUUGUAUAUUAUUUUUAACACAUGGUUUCUAUGUUAUGUAGCGGACCGGUUAUGAAGCUUUAUCUGUGGGACAACGCUGCAGCCGACUUCUGCCAUAAAUUCAAGUCGUAUGGAAGCACUCCAAACGUUCUUUUGGUCACCACUGUGAACCCAAAACAUCUUGGAGGUUAGUACUCCCUACUAGAGUCAUACUCAUAAUCAUAGCUUAUUUGUAGUCUUUCAGUUGGAACUGUAUUAGGUAAUUUUUUUGUUGUUAGAUGAGGCGGUUGUAAUGCAUGUUUUGAAUAAUCACAUCGGUUCAUUUGGUAUUAACAGGAACCCUUGCUCUCACUUCUAUGUCAUCGUCUCGGGUGUUUAUGGAUGUCGAUGUUCAGCCUACUAGAGAUUAUCUUGAAUGGUAGACAAAUGUGUAUUAAGUUAUUUGUUCAUGCGAUUUUUAUUUUUAACAUUUCAUGUGACUUUUCUAACGUAUUUGAUCUCCUGUCUUUUUAUCAGGUUGAAUUCCAACUCUGAUAUUGCUAAUAGGGUUGCUGCUGAGCUUGUCACUAAGCCUGAGAUAGUGACUCUUGAAGAGCUAUUCUCUUACAUCAAGCAAGACUCUUCUAAGGUAUAAGCAUUGUUCUGUUUUUACAUUCGUUUCCAUGCGUGUGGGUGCUUACUAAGCUUAUUUUAUUUUUUUCACAAUGAAGGUUGCUUGGUUUGAGUGCAUGGCGACUAUAGAUGAUGUUGUCCAGGGUUCUGCAUGGUAUUACAUCUCCUGCGGUGGAUGUAAUAGCAAGGCGGUCAACGGACCUACUUCUCUGAUUUGCAACAAUAAGAAGUGUGUGAAGACUGAAGUCACAGGCGUACCUCAGUAAGUGCUGAGUCUUUUUCAUCUAUGUUUUGUUAGCGUUAGUAGCUAAUCUUCUUUCGUUGUAGGUACCUCACGAGGAUUUCUGUGUAUGAUAAGAGUGAACAAGCAGUUUUUGUCAUUCUUGGUGAUGCUGGCAAGGAGCUGACUGGUAAACAUGCAGCAGAGUUAAUUGCUAAUUACUUUGAGGAACUUUCAGACUUGACUAUAUAUAGCAAAUAGGUUGGUGUUACGGGAAGUAGUUAGGACAUCAUCGAUUCAUAUAUUAUCUCAACUCAUGUGCAUUUUGCUUGGAUGUUAGGCUAAUGGUGGAGUAGGAGCUGAUCACUGCGUGCCUGUUCCGCAAGCUUUGCUUGAUACAAUAGGGCAAACACGCAAGUUCAUUGUGAAGGUCUCGGAUCAUAAUCUGACAGGUAAGACUCAGACUAUAACUGUCACCAAGAUACUCCCACCAGAAGCCCCGCUGCCGUCGACCGUAGGUGUCGAGUCUGGUUCUUCAGGAAGCUCUGGAGAUACUGCAGGUGAUAGGGCCAGAAAAGCCUCUGAGAUCCUUGAGGCAGAUGAAGCAAAACGUCCCAAGAGUGGCUAAUGUGUUUUCUACUUAUCUUCUCAUGCAGUGAUUGUUUUUCCUGCAUUCCAAGACGUUUUUUUUUUAUGUUUCUCUUAUGGUUUUGUGUUCUUUUCAUUUCAAACUUCUGGCUUUUGACCUUUAUGUUUAAGUUUUUGAAUACAAUUUCAUUAUAUGGUUUUUACUUAUCUUAUGAGCAAUUUACAUAUUGUAUUAUGAUCUUCUCAUAGUGCGUAAAACUUAUUACAAAUUAUAAUUUUAGUUGUAUAUUUCCUAAAAAUCCACAAAUUAUGCAAUUAGACAUUCCAAAUCAAACAAUUGUUGCAGCAAAUCAACCAACAAAUGUUUCAUUAUCCAAUAUGCUACAUAUAAAAAAUGUAUCUAUGAAACUUGACAUCCUAGCACAAGAAGAAACUACAUUAUAGUAUUCAAUGAUAUACGGUAGAUGCUAUCAUCUUUAUAAUACCGCGUUUCAUAAUAGCCAGACUAUGUAUUUAAAAAUGAUAUACAUAUGAACACAAAAAAAUUUAAACUUUAGCAAAAGCAGAGUAUUUUAAUUUCUAAUAAAUAUUAAAGUAUGAUUCAAAGACUAAUAUAAACAUUUUUUCCUUUUUCCAUCUCUUCAGCUGAUAUCAUUUGACUAAUAUAAACUUUAGCUAUGUUAACAUAGAAAAUAUGAAACAAAAUAUGAAUUAAUGGUAUUCCAAACAGAACAUUAUAAUCUUCAGAAGAAAUUGCUCUGAUUUUACAAAUAUUUUAUAAAAAAAGACAAAUGAUAUAAUAUAAACAUAGAGUAUAUGAUUUUGUUUACAGGUUGAUCUUAUCGAAAUUCAGUAAAUCUAUUAUCCAUAACUUUUAACAAAUCAAAAUCAGUGUAAAAUUACCUUAUAGAAAUUCAAUGAUAAUGUAAUAUUACAUGUGGAACACAUUGUUCUAAAUCAUUUCUAACCCGAUGAAGUAUUAAGCAUCAUUACUAUAUAAACGACUUUUUAAUUGCGAAAAUGGCAUAGAUUAAAAAUAUGUUUGUGUGGGAAUGGAACCCUGGUCCACUAGCAUAUAUGCGGGCUCCUCUACCACUAGAGCAAAGACACACUUUUCAAACUAUUUUACAAACAUAUUAAAAAUAACCAGCACCAGUACUAUAUUAACAAAAUUUUAAUCGCGAAAAUAUCGUAUAUUAGGAAUAUGUUGGGGCGAAAGUUCGAACCCUGGUUCAGGAGCAUAUACGAGGAUUACUCUACCACUAGAGUGAAGACACACUUUGCAAACUUAAUUGUAGAAAUAAUAUAUAUAUAAUCAGCAGUUGAAAUCCACUGGGAAUUGACAAUAACGUCAAUUCAUAAAGUUUGAGUGUUUCUUCUUCCUUUUAACGAGGGAAACUUGAGAGUCUUUUUGUCUUCUAACUCUCCUCUGUGAUCCUAGCGAAUCCCUCCCGCCAUGUCUGAACAAAAUCGUUCUUCUACUGAUCGACCUCGGCGUCGGAGGUUCAGCCAGUUCGAUUGCUCAUUCGGAGAUGUCUAUCAAUCCCGAUCUCAAGUUCCGUUCGUAUCGUUUGACGAACGUCUCCAAAGAAGCCGGCAGCUUUUCUCCAAUAACGUUACUGCCGUCGAAGGAUACUCUCGCCGUCAUCCUAAUGAGGAAGCCGCUAUCGGGUAUCGCUCUCUUUGCCUCCGAGGGUUUAUAGUUCAGGGUUCUUUAGAUCCUAUGGAUUCAGUUGUAGAGGAAGUGUUUAGGAUGAUCGAUAGCAUAGGUUGGUCCUACACUGUGAUGCAUGUGCAUCCAUUCUGCCCUAGGGUUGUGAGAGAGUUCAUCUCAAACAAACCCUUCAAUGAUGAGGGUGUUCUUAUUCGAGGAUAUGUGUUCCAAUUUACUCCUUCAGUGAUCAACCGCUUGAUGAUGACACCACCUGUUGAACACUCUUUUGAGUGGGAAGAAGUUGAUCUGAAGCUUGCCAUAUCACACCUCACUGGAGGCCGAUGCUCGGGAUGGGCAGGGUUCAAUCUCAAUGCUUUGCUCAAUCCCUUUCAAACUCUUUAUCGUAUUUGUGAGUUGAAUUGGCUUCCAGGUCCUGUCUCUGAUGCAAUGAUCAAGAACCGACUCCGCCUUCUAUAUGCUGUUGCGAAAUGCCACAAAAUCAGCUUUGGUGACCUUGUGUAUGAACAAGUGAUUGAGAUGACCCGCAAAACAGACUGGGAGACGAACCUCAUAUUUCCAAAUCUCAUAUAUCAACUCCUAAUGCUUCAAAGAGAAGUCCCUUUGCUACCAGGAGACGAAGAACCUACUGGAAGAGAAAUCCGUAUCUAUGGGUUAGCAGGUGACACAAGUGGGCCAAAGGGACGUAGAAGGCUGUAUUAGCUUAGUGUCCAAAUUAUUUUUUGUUAGCUCCAUCACUCUUUUACUAAUGUGGCUGAUGUAUGAUCUUUUUGUUUAGUAGCUUUGUCUGAAUCCUUUACUAAGCGGUUGUAAUGUCAAUGACUGUUCUGUUUUUGGGAUGAUCUUAUUUUGGGAUGAAAUGUUAUCUUGGUAUUAGUGUCUAUAUGAAAAUCUUUUUCAUACUUCUUUAUCGAUAAUAGCUCCAUUCUAUCUUUUUCCACCAGAUACCAAGCAGGCUUGAAUAUGUCUCAUUAACUCUGAAUAGUAAACAAAAUGGUAACGUACAGCCGUUGCGGUAACCGACAGCUCAACUAAAUUAUCUCAGCCUUCAUCAACAUAUAAGCAUGAGCAAAAUUAUGUAUGACAUCAGGCUUUGUUUGAAAAUACUAUUAUGCUACCAUAUUUUUAAAACUAAUAUAUUAUGUAUUUUUUAGAGGUCGUCCACGUGGGUCACAUACGAAAUCGAAAGGUAUGUAUUUACUCUCAAAAAUAUUUCUAAGAUCAAUAUCAAAAUUUUCUACUACAUAAUACUAAAACUAUGUAAAUUUUCAGUUCAUCUAAUUAAUGAUCGACCAGCAUUCAAACAAAAAUAUUAUGACUAUAAGUUUAUAUGGAUUAUAAUAUUAUAUUUUAAUCAAUACUUAUUCAUCAAACAAACUGACUUUUCGCAUUUAAUCAAAAAAGGACUAAAAAUCAUUAAAGCCAUAGAUCAGCUCCAGAAAAAUUGAAGAACAUAGUCUACAAGGAGAUCCUCAACCAUCUCCGUUCUCAUGAAAGUAAGUAAAAUUCCAAAUCUAAAACCUAAUUCCAUACGUUUUCAGUGAUUACUUAUCUAAUUAUUCACAUUUAUAUGGUACUCAAUGUUCUAGCGAUCAACAUAAACAAAUGAAAGCUAAACUUCAUCUUGAUGAUUGUUAUAUCACUACUUCAAGGUACGUCAACUUAUACUAUGAAAUAUAUAAGCUGAUUUCUAUUAUUAAGAUAUGUCCACUGAUUUACUUCUAAAUGAUUUCAGGGUCUCACUCAAAGAGAUCCCAUCACAUCUCUUCUUUGGAUGUUCACCAUCUUAUCUAUGAUUUUUACAUUCCAUCUUUUGUAUUUUUUUUUUUUUUGAAUAAGAGUUUACAUGAGAUUGUUCGCAGGCUUCUGCUAAUAUACAUGAUUUAUAUCUAUCUCCAGAAUUUUCAAUCCCAACUUAUUAAGACUCAAACAUUUUCCGCGCGUAGUGCGCAUAGCGCGGACGAAGCAUCUAGUAAAAUAUAAAAACAAGAAAAGACUAAGCAAAAAUUAAGAAAAAAUAAUCUGAUAUUAGCUAGGUACCUCACCCCUUUUUGUAUUGAUGACUUUUUGAUAAUCUGAUAUUACCCUUGCCCACAUUCUUUCUCUCUCUCUCCCGUGUCCUCUUGAAUUUUGUAGCUACAUCUCAUCUCUUUUAUAUCUUUACAUAUAUCUUUUUGUAUUUCUUCUUCAGUUCUGCUGUUUUUUUUUCUCGAUCCUAAAUAAUAUUUCUUCCACUACCACCACAUGUCAACUCCCCUACGUUGCCGCUCCGACGGGUUGCUUGAAUUCGAACAUGAUAUGAAGGCUUUAAAGGGAUUCAAUGGCACAUAGAUACUAGAAAGAUUCGUCCAAUUCAUGAGUGUAUUGUCAAAGAUAGUGUGGUUCCUCACGUGAUUGAUAAUGAUGAAUCAAAACUCAUAUAUUUCAAUUGAGAGUAGUUGUACCCAAUGUGUGUGGCAAUCUAUGUUGACAUUAACUGAUAAUUUUUUGAUUAGACUACACAUAAAGUAUUGUAAGUUGAUACAUCUUUUAGUUAGCUGUUACAAAGCUGCUUGUCGAUUUUUAAAAUGGCUGAUAAAAUGUUAACAAUAGAUAUCAUUAAAUUAUACAUAGUUUGUUAGAUGGUAAGAAAGAGGUUAACAUGCUAACUUAAUCAUUAUCUGUGUAAUUCUAAUAUUCUUAACGGCUAACAAUAAUUAUAUCACAUACAGUCGAAAAGUUACAUCUAACUUUAUGUUUUACAUGAUAAAUCCUACUAUAUAUUAAUUGACAAGUCAUUUAAUUGACUUUUGCUUAGGUGUCAUUCAUAGGUGAAGUUUAUAAUUAAUUCUCUUAAUUUGAUUGGUUGUUGGUAUUUGAAUUUUUAUUUAUUUAAUUAAAGUUUUAAAAAAGAAACUAAUUGUAGAACUACCUAAUCUAAUCCUACUAUAUAUUAAUUGAGAAGUUACUUAAGUGAUUUUUGCUUAAGUGUCAUUCAUAAGUGAAGUUUAGAAUUAAUUCUCUUAAUUUGAUUGGUUGUUGGUAUUUGAAUUUUUAUUUAUUUAAUUAAAGUUUUAAAAAGGAAACUAAUUGUAGAACUACCUAAUCUAAUAUAUAUUACCACACAAACAAUUAAACAUUUUAAAGAUAUAAGAAUUAACAUAAUUUGUUUAUAGAAACAAUUAAAUAUCAUAGAUUACAUUAUAGAAAUUAAAAAUAUACAUAUAACUACAUAUGGUAUGAUAGAAAUAAUUAUAUAAACGAUUUUAACAUAUUUAUAUUUAUAGUGGAUACAAUAAAUUAUAGAUUACAUAAAACCAAUUAACCUAAACCUAAUAAUAUUUUGUUAUACUCACUACGUAUAUUUUUUUCUAAAAUGUGUCCAAUGAAUGCAAAAAACAGUCAAAUUUACAAUUUAAAAAACAUUCAGUCAUUUUUAAGUGACAUUUGCUUAGAAAUCAUUCAUAGGUGAAAUUUACAAUUAAUUCUUUUAAUUUGAUUGGUUGUUGGUAUUUGAAUUUUAAUUUAUUUAAUUAAAAUUUUAAAAAGGAAACUAAUUGUAGAACUACCUAACAUAAUCUAUAUUACCAUACAAACAAUUAAACGUUUUAAAGAUACAAUAAUUAACAUAAUUUGUUUAUAGAAACAAUUAAAUAUCAUAGAUUACAUAAUAGAAAUUUAAAAUAUACAUAUAAAUACAUAUGGUAUGAUAGAAAUAAUUAUAUAAACAAUUUUAAAAUAUUUAAAUUAAUAGUGGAUACAAUAAAUUAUAGAUUACAUAAAACCAAUUAACCUAAACCUAAUAAUAUUUUGUUAUACUCACUACAUAUAUUUUUCCCUAAAAUAUGUUCAAUGAAUGCAAAAAACAAUCAAAUAUACAAUUUAAAAAACAUUCUAUCAUUUUUCACUGACUUUUGUUUAGGUGUCAUUCAUAGGUGAAGUUUAAAAUUAAUUCUCUUAAUUUGAUUGGUUAUUGGUAUUUGAAUUUUCAUUUAUUUAAUUAAAGUUUUAAAAAAGAAACUAAUUAUAGAACUACCUAAUCUAAUCUAUAUUACCAUACAAACAAUUAAACAUUUUAAAGAUAUAAGAAUUAACAUAAUUUGUUUAUAGAAACAAUUAAAUAUCAUAGAUUACAUUAUAGAAAUUAAAAAUAUACAUAUAAAUACAUAUGGUAUGAUAGAUAUAAUUAUAUAAACGAUUUUAACAUAUUUAUAUUUAUAGUGGAUACAAUAUAUUAUAGAUUACAUAAAACCAAUUAACCUAAACCUAAUAAUAUUUUGUUAUACUCACUACAUAUUUUUUUUCUAAAAUGUGUCCAAUGUAUGCAAAAAACAGUCAAAUUUACAAUUUAAAAAACAUUCAGUCAUUUUUAAGUGACUUUUGCUUAGAUAUCAUUCAUAGGUGAAGUUUACAAUUAAUUCUCUUAAUUUGAUUGGUUGUUGGUAUUUGAAUUUUCAUUUAUUUAAUUAAAGUUUUAAAAAGGAAACUAAUUGUAGAACUACCUAAUCUAAUCUAUAUUACCAUACAAACAAUUAAACAUUUUAAAGAUAUAAGAAUUAACAUAAUUUUUUUACAUAAACAAUUAAAUAUCAUAGAUUACAUUAUAGAAAUUUAAAAUAUAUAGUGUGAUAGAUAUUUAUAUGUAUAGUUGAUACAAUAAAUUAUAGAUUACAGAAAACCAAUUAACCUAAACCUAAUAAUAUUUUGUUAUACUCACUACAUAUUUUUUUCCCUAAAAUGUGUCCAAUGAAUGCAAAAAAAUAGUUAAAUAUACAAUUUUAAAAAUAUUUAGUCAUUUUAAGUGAUUUUUGCUUAGGUGUCAUUCAUAGGUGAAGUUUAGAAUUAAUUCUCUUAAUUUGAUUGGUUGUUUGGUAUUUGAAUUUUCAUUUAUUUAAUUAAAGUUUUAAAAAGGAAACUAAUUGUAAACCUAAUCUAAUAUGUAUUACCAUACAAACAAUUCAACAUUUUAAAGAUAUAAGAAUUAACAUAAUUUGUUUAUAGAAACAAUUAAAUAUCAUAGAUUACAAUAUUACAUUAUAAGAAUUUAAAAUAUACAUAUAAAUACAUAUGGUAUGAUAGAAAAUAAUUAUAUAAACGAUUUUAACAUAUUUAUAUUAAUAUUGGAUACAAUAAAUUAUAGACUACAGAAAACCAAUUAACCUAAACCUAAUAAUAUUUUGUUAUACUCACUACAUAUAUUGUUUCCUAAAAUGUGUCCAAUAAAUGCAAAAAAUAGUCAAAUAUACAAUUUAAAAAACAUUCAGUCAUUUUUCAGUUACAAAUAUUGAUUGUAUAGUUGAGUUAUUACUUUCAAAAAUUAUUAAAGUAUUUGUAUAUUUAAAAACAGAAAAUUAUAUAGUAAGUCUUUUAAAAUAAUAUUAAUAAAUAAAAAUAUAUAUAUUAUAAUAUAAAAUUGUAAGAAAUUGGAACAUUAUACUAAUACGAGACUAAAGUUAAUAUACGCUAUUUAUAUAAUUCUUAUAGCCUUGGUUAUAAUAAAAUUAUAUGGUAAAUUCUUUAAAAAAUAUUAAUCAAUGAAAAUUUUUAUUAUAAUAUAAAUAAAAAAAUUAUAACAAUAUAUUAAUACAUGACUAGAGUUAAGACUCUAUUGAUAUAGUUUUGAUUAUAAUAAAAUUGACAUGCAUAUUUUGUAAUAGGAAAAAAAAGGAUACAUAUAUAAAACAUCAGUGAAGAAUAAUAAAACUUGUUUGUUGUAUUAUUGGUUAUAUUUUUUGUUAUUUUAUACUUUUACAUAUUAAUUUGUUAUAUGUUUGCCGAAAUACAUGUGUUUUACGUAUUAGUAUAACUGUUAAUUAAUUAUUUGUAACUAUUUUAUUUCUAAAUAAAAUAAAAUGGUAGACAAAAUAAUGCAAAAAUAGAAAGUGUUAUAAAAUAACUUUUUGUUCAUUAAUAUUUGUUUUUCUAUUAAUCAAAAAUUAUGUCAUAAAAAAGACUUUUUAGAAACUUAUAAUAAAAUUUAUAGAAUUAACAAUAUAUCUCAAUAAUCUUCUAAGAUUAUACAAUACCAAAACUUUUGAUUUUCAAACUAUUUAAAAUAAAAAAGUUAUUUUUAAUAGUUAUGAUUAUUAUUCAAAAAUAUAAAAUUAUAAACAUUAUAUAUAAUUUUCAUAAAAUAUUUAUACCCGCGAAAUCGCGGACAACCACCUAGUAACAUAUUGGUUUGAUAUAAAAUAAUGAAUAUUCACUUUUAUGUAUUUAAUUUUGAGUACCUUAUAAACAUUUUAUAUCGGUUAACUAAAGAAUUAUAGGUCACUGUCUUUUGUUACUUGAUAAAUAUUCCCUCUAUUCCCGAAAGAAGGAUUUUCUAGAGUAUUCACGCACAAUUAACUUUUUACAAUUGAAUUUAUUAUUUAUUUUACUAUACAUUUUCAAAUAAAUAUCAACCAAUAGUAUUCAACCAAUUCAAAUAUUUUCAAUUAAUGUUUCUUAAAAUAUAUAACUUUUCAACAUUAACUACUAAAAGUACUUUACAAUUUUAGAAAAUCUAUAAUUUUGGAACAAAAAAUAAAUCUAUAAAAUCCUACUUUCAUGAACAGAGGGAGUAUAGAUUUACAUAAAUCUAUAAAAUCCUACUUUCUGGUCCGGCCCAAACCCGCUAAGACCGUAAAUAUUUGAGCCCGGCCCGGCCCGGCCCGAAAAUAAUUUGGGCUUAGAAUUCAAAGCCCGGCCUGGCCCUUAUAGGGCUACAGGGCUUUUCGGGCUUUUGUGGGCUUUUCGAAAAAUAAUUUGUCUUUGUCAUUGUCACUUCCAUCGUUUUAAUACAUGUGAAUUUUCAUUAAAAAAAAAGAGUUUCAUUUUUAAAAAAUAAAAAAAAGUAUAAAGUGAGUUUAAAAUUUUCUUGUCUAUCACAAAUUUUUUAUUUUUUCGUAUGUUUUAAAAACAUUUUAUACACAAACCAAAUUUAAUAAGAUUUAAAUAAUCAAAUAUCAAUUAAAACAAAAAAUAUAAGAGAACAAAAUUUAUGAUAAACAUGGUCAAACGUUUUAUACUUUAUAUUUUGAAAAUAAAAACAUGUUGUACAUGAAAGAAGAAUGUACUUUUGUAAAAUUUAAAAUGUAACACUUGUAAUGAUGAAACAAUAAAGUGCAUUAAAAACUUUUAUAUUUGCUUUAUUAGAGUUUAGAUAAAAAUAUUAAAAUAAUAUAUCAAUACUAAUAAUAGUUUCGAUUACAAGAAAGAAGGAUAAUAUUUACGCUAAAAUCUAAAUUUCGGGUUUUCGGGCCGGCCCUAGCCCAAACGGACUUAAGCCCAAAAUACCCAAAGCCCAAAUGGGCUUAGCCCGAAAGACCCAAUUUUUUUUGGGCUUAUAAAGCUAAGCCCAAGCCCGAUAAUUUUUAGGGCUGGGCGGGCUCGGGCUACGGGCUUCGGCCCUAAUUGACAUGUCUAAGUAUAGUUUUCUAAUAAAUGAGUUAUCCACUAAUAAUUAAUAUAACAUUUAGUAGUAAAGUUUAGCAUUGAACAAUAUUUGUUAACGUACUAGUAUUUCUGAUUCAGUUUCAUAAAUGUAUGGUGUGUUUCUCUUCUUGCAACGAGCUGGGGAUUACGAUUCGCUAAGAUCAUGCAAUCAAAAUUAAGAAAGUACCCUAAAAUUGAAUUCUUAAACUCUUAAAAUUGAAUUCUUAAUAACAAAAUAUCAUUAUUUUAGUAUAUUAUAAAUAAAUAAUUAAAUUUUUUAGCAAAAAAAAAGUAAAAAAUUGUGAUAGUAAAGUUUGUUGGUGAUGUUGAAAAAUAACAAAAAUUUCUUUUCUUUAUCUUUUUGUAUUAUGGUUAUUGAUUGAUAGUAUUUAAGAAAGCAGCUUCUCAGAAUUAACCCAUCUCUAAGAAAGAGUAGAGUUAAGAGAAAGCUAAACAAAUCCAGUGAACUAAACUUCUUAUCACUGUUUCUUUAGUAGUUAGUAUUGUUGUAAGAGUACUGUUAUUUUUUACUGCUUUUUCAGUGUCAAAUGCGGUUGAUUGCAGCUCACUAUACUUAAUUUUCUACGAGUUUGGUUCGGUGAAACUGAUCUUGAUAUUAGACAGUUGCAUAGAUUGAUAGAUGAUAGGUUGUUGAAUUAAUUAUGGUUACUCACAUCUCCUUUUGUCACUCUCUUCACGUGAUCUUUAAAACACCGAACCACCCCACCCCCUCUUUUAGUAUGUUUUGAUUUGACCAUGUGAUUGGUUCGUGCUCCGACCCCAUCUCUUGUGACCUCUCUUUUCCUUAACCCACCUCAGUGGAUUCAUUAGUGUAUGUUUCUCUCAUUUGUGGGCCUUUGACAUAUUUUUCUGGGGCUUUGUGUCGUCACAUUCUUAUAUGGCCUGAUGAUCAUUAUCAUCACAGCCUACACAGCUUAAUUUUGUUCAUUAACGAUACAAGAAGAGCUGGUCUUCCACUACUUUUGGAAAGCUAUAUAUUUUUUUUUCUUCAGAUUAAUACAAAGCUAUAUUAUUAUAGCUACUAGGUCAGGAACCGUGCGAUAUCGCACGGGAACUCAUUUUAUAUAAAAUAAAUAUACCACUUUGUAAUUUAUAUUCUUAUAUAAAAAUUUCGUAAUUUAUUUUUUGAAAAUUUCUCAUGCCAAAUGUAGAAUAUAUGUGUUUACAUUUAUUUUUAUAUAAUAUUAAAAAUGUAUAUUUUAUAGUUUUAGAUCACAAAUAAAAAUACAAAUAUGUUAAUAUCAAUUAAAAAAUAUACUUAUUUUAUUAGUUUAUGUAAGUUAUUCUGAAUUUUAAAUAUUACUUAAUAUUUUUGAGCUAGUUAAAAUAAUCAAACACAUUUAAAUUUGAUUUUUUGCUAAUUUAAAGAAUGGCAUUUAUGAUUGUUGAAGCAGACGACAUCUUUUUAUCAUCCCGAAGGACCCGAACCAAUACGUUUUCUCAAAUGACAAUGGCACCUCUCUGAAAAAAAUUAACAUGUCAUCAGGGGCGAAGCUAGGUUAGAGACAAUGGGUUCAAGUGCCCCCACUAUAUUUUAGAUGUUUAGUGUUUACAUAAGGCAUAUAAGUUGAAAGUGGCUAAGUUGGUUGUGAUGCACCCAUAAUUUCCUACCAACCUGGGUGCAAUCUCCCUUAUUCUCUACUUUUUCACUAAUUUUAUUAAACAUUUAAUAUAUGCUAUUUGUUUUGCACCCGGUCAAAAUAAAGGUCUGGCUUCGCCCCUGCAUGUCAUCCUCUCUGAUGUUCUACUACCAAUCUGAUAUGGAACGGGAAUAUGACUUGACCACCAAAAAAAAUAAGGAUUCCGCUGUGGGCUUCUCAUCUGCGACACACAAGAUUGGAAUGAAAUAUAAAUAAGAUAAGAUAAAUUAUUAGAAUAUGAUUACAACUAGACUUAUGAUAAACGAUUGCUUGAUGCACGAGGAACAUAGAUAAAAACACUUAAAGUCACGACAACUUCACGGGUGAUGACGGUGGCUCGGGCUUUGUGCGUCUCUUCUUCACAUCAUACAUUUCUCAUGUCCGCGAAUGACCACUCACAAGCGCCUAUUGAUCUCCAACGACGAAGCCGUGUCUCCAGUGUAGCGUUGUGACCAGAUAACUGCAUAUAAUUUUUGUUUUCAUUGUUUUAUUUGAUUAGUGAAAAUUUUCUUUUGACAAAGACAUGAACAAAGACUAUUUAUAGAUUUUCAAAGAUUUAUUUGAAUAGUCAUAUUUUUUCAAUUUAAAAGUAAUUAUUUUGAAUUGAUACCUAUAUGAAUAGUCAUAAAUUUUCAAUUUAAAUAGUUACAUCUUUUCAAAUUAAAAUUAGUUAUUUUGAAAUGAUACUUAUAUGAAUAGUCACAACUUUUCAAUUUAAAUAGUUUCAUUUUUUCAAUUUAAAAUUAGUGAUUCUAAAAUGAUAAUUAUAUGAAUAGUCACAACUUUUCAAAUCAAAUGUAUUUAUUUUAAGAUGAUACUAUUAUAAACAUGGUGAAAGACGCAACUGUUCGAAGUGAAAAGUCAUGUAUCUCUAACAAUUGGCAACUAUAAGAUUAUAGAAGAAUAGUUGUUUAUUAUUAAUUUCCUAAAUUAUCGUAGACCCUUCCUAAAUUAAUAAUAUGUAUCCUAUGAACUAAUGCAAUUUUUAGGAUGAAAAGACACUAAGAUGAAAAAGUACAUAUUUAUAUAUUUUGACAAUUUAUUUUAAACCAAUGCAAUUUUUAAGAUGAAAAGACACAAUGUUAAAAUGAAAAUUUACAUUUUAAAUUACAUUUUGAUAAGUUCUUUUAAACUAAUGUAAUUUUUAAGAUUAAAAGAUAAAUUGUUAAAUGAAAAGAUAUAUACUUUUACAUUUUGACAAUUUUUUAAACCAAUAACUCUUAAAAUAAAAACACACAACCCUUAAUCAAAAGUCACCUUAAUGAACAAACACAACUUUUAACAAGAAUUGAGAUUCCUAUAAAAACACACAACCUUUAGAAUUAAUUGGGAUUGCUAUUAUUAAUAGAUAUAAAAAAGUAAUUAAAAGUAUGAAAGAAAACUAAGAUAUGUCUCUUAUUUAAGAAAUGUAAGAGACAUCUCUUAACUUAAUCUUGCAUCUUUCUUUCACUUGGCAACUUCUAAUUAGUUUAGCUAUUUAAUUUUAAUUAAAUUUUAAUUAAUUAUUUAUAAUAUUCUAAAAUAAUGAUAUUUUGUUGUUAAAAACUCCAUUUUAAGAGUCCAUGCGAUUAACAUGCUCUUAGGGUACUUUCUUAAUUUUGAUAAAAAAUAAGCAAAACUUUAGAGGAAAAUACAUGGACAAUCAAAUUAUAUAUAUAAAUAGGCAUGCAACUCUAAUAUGACACAAAACAUCCAAUAUUGUGUAAUUUCAUUUUCAAUGAAACUAUAUAAAAGCACUAUUUCAUUAAAUUUAGUGUUUGUGUUUUACACCAUGUUCAAAAACGCGGACGCCUAGCCGCGUUACCCUGUUCAAAACGCGGGCGCCUAGCUGCAUAAUCGGAGGCGCUCCACGUAACUGUACCGUGGCGAUUGAGACCUAAUCGAGUCAAAUAAUCUGUCACCGUAUAGUUUACCGCCUAAAUCAAUUAAUCAGAUCUUUUCCAAGUUUUAACCGAUUUUUAGCAGACUAAUUUUAAACUUUUGACAUAUAAUGCAAUAUGAUGAAUCGAAGAAAUAGUUGUAUUUAUAAACAAUCAGACUUGUCACUUGUGCUCUUCUUACCGAUGUGGGAGAAGGUAAUUCUUGUUAGAUAAUGAUCUCAUGAAGAUAUCUGUCUCAUGACUAAUAUUGUAUUUGUCAUUGUCACUAGUACACAUGUCAUUGCAUGUAUAUUGUUUGAUCUCCUAUAAAUAGGGAGAGACUGAAAAUAAGAAUCAGAAGUUUAAUACUUAUUCUCUCCCCAAUGUGACUUUGUCUCUCACACAAACAACAUAUUAAUAAUAUAUACAAAUAAAUAAACACUUAUCUAAAUUACACAUAAAUAUUUCUUUAUCUCAUCUGAGCUAAUAGUUCACAACACGUUAUCAACACGAGCUCUCAUAUACCGGUGAAGUCUAUCAAUCCGGAAGCUCUAACCAACCGAAGCUUAUCAAUCCAAAAGUUCUUAAACCAGCCGAGGUAAUGUUUAAAUUUAUGUAUUUCAAUAUACUUAAUUUAUUUAAAUUUUAUUAUUGUUCCGGAGUGAGAGGCUAGGCCUUCUCCGUUUAUUUUUGGGAUGAUAGGCGCUGCCUUUCCCGACUGAUCGUUAUGGUAGGCUAUGCCUUCACGAUCAGAGAAACACGUAGUAGGCUUUGCCUCCAUGAAUAAAAAGAAAAGGUCAAAAAUGGUAGACUAAAUCUUCUCGGACCUUGAAAUAAGUAAAAGUCAAAAUGGUAGAUCAUGUCUCCUCGGACUUUGAAAAAAUGAUCAAUAUGGUAGUCUAUGACUCCUCGGAUCAUGUGGUAGGCUAAGCCUCCCGAUAUUAUUUAUGCAAUUUAAUUUUUGCCUUUAUUUUAAGCCUUUAAUUUCUGAAUUUAAAUUAUGCAUUUAAAUUCUCGUUUAUAUAUAUUAUUAUUCUAUGAAUACGGUUAUCAUGUCGAAUUUGACAGAGCCCAAAAUAAAUGCUCUUGAUAUUACGAGAAAUAUAAGAUCUGGGCAGUGGGUGCAGAGAUGCAUCUGAAAGAAAAUGAGUUUUUUAUAAAUUAUCGAUAUAAACUGUAUCAGAUGAAAAAAAAAGGUAAUGCCAUGAUAAUUUACACUACUUCAAUGAUGGUUUAUAAGAUGAGGUGUAUCAUGAAAAAAAAUCUAGAAGAUCUUUGUGUAAUUAAAUCUUUGAAAGAAAGGAUUCACCAAUUUGUUGGAGUUGAUGUAAAUCCUCCGUGAUAUUUGAAAAGAAAAGAAACUCAUGAUACUAAACCAUCAUGUACGCCCUACUAGAAAAGGACAAAGGUAUGGAUGCGGUAGAAACCGCUAUCGUGGUCGUGGAAGAGGACGAGGAAGUAGAUUCCGUCCAUGUGAAAUAAUUAGAACUUCCACGAAAAAUGAAAGUGGUCGGGUGAUAAAAGGUAAACAGAAAAUGUUUGCUACAGAUGCGGCAAGAAAGAAUUUUGGGUACGUAUUUGUCGUAUUCCCAAAUAUUUAGCCGAUCUAUAUCGAGAAUCAAAAAGAAAAAUUAAAGAGAAAGGAAGUGAAAUAAACUUCAUCUCUUAUGAGCCCGGACCAUAUUUUCAUAGCUUGAAUACUCAUUUUGAUUUUCUGUUUGGUCCAGAAAAUAAAAAUGAGAAUAUCGAUGUGAUAUGAGAAUUAUCUUCCUGAAUAAGAUUUUGAGAUUCAGGAUGGAGAUAGAUAUACCUGGCGGAUAUUGGGUCAACGUAUAUGACUACUAAAGGUAACAAAUAUUUUUCCUCUCUCAAAAUAAAUAAGUAUAGUAUCUACUAAUAUAAAAAUUACUAUUGGCUCUAGAAGAGCUUAUGAUGAAAAGACAUGCAUAAUUGUGACAAAAAAAAGAAGAAAAGACAUGCAUAAAAAAAAAAGAGAUGGCAAAAUUAUAAAUGAGUGGUAAACCUGAUGUUUACUGAUAUAUAGCCAUCUCCAAUAAUUCUAUCGACAUUAUUGUGAAAUGUUGAAAAACCAGAAGUUUUUCACAUAUAGCAUGUCAAGAAAAUAAAGGAAACCAUCAAGGGUGAUGAAUCAUCAAACAUGUUCACUAUAUGUGAUUUCUUUAAGCAGGCCCCAAAUUAAGAUCUCACUCUAAAGGAUUUGAAACAUAAUUUAUCCCAAAUGGGAAAACUGAAUAUGUUAUUUGUUCUAGAGUGGGAUUCAGUACGAGAUUUUAGACAUGGAGUGUCAUCAUCUCGAGGGGGAGAAUUAAAGAAUCCUUGUAAGUGGAACAUUGAAAAAAUUAUGUUCGCACUCGAAAAAGAACUUGAUAAAGUAUAUUCAAGUAAGAUGAUCCCCAUGAUCGGGUGUAAACAUGCAGUUAUGCAUGUAAUAAAGACAUGUACAAUCCAAAUGGAUAAAGUAUAUGGAUAAUUAGAAAUAUGCUCGCAAGUUUGCUAGAAGCAUAUGAUAAGUUGAUGGAAUGAGAUAUGUGAAAUGGAUUACAAUGAAAAGUAGAAUAAUCCAUUUACAAAAUGCAUGCCAUACAUUUUGAUGAAAUAAUGAAAUCUCAUAUUCCAGUUGAAAAGGCUCCAAUAAUAAAAUGUGUCCUGAAAGGAUGAUAUAUGAGUCUAUGGCACGCUAGAGACGUGAUAGACCACUUUGGUUCCAAAGAGGCCUCGAAAAGGAGCAAAAAUAUAAAUAGAGGAUGAAUCUCAUAUGAGACCGUUGAUACGGUUAAUAUAAUAGUCAUGUACCUAGGUAAAUCAUUGAUGAUGAUAAAGAGAUCCUGAUUAACCAUAUCAGUACGGGUAAAAAGAUGGAACCAAAGACAAAAUAGAUUGUCAACAAUAAAUGAGAAAGCGCUAUAUAAAUAAGGAUUAUGAAUCUACCUCUAUGUAUGAGGGUAGAGUGAAUUGAUUGGCCAUCAAUUCGAUAUAAAGCUCGUUAGAAAAACGAGAGAUUUUUGGACCAUAAGUCCAAGGUAUAUAUUUUUCCAUAGAAUGAAAUAAAAGAUGACCUUGAGGUAUGAAGAACGGCAUAUUCCAAGGUCACUGGAGAAAAUUUAAAAUAGAUGCAAUAUAUUUAAAUGUCUGGCAGGACAAAAAUGACUUGAGUUGCAUCUUGAUAUUUAGUAGUCCCUGGAGAGUUAAAAUGCUCUCGGGAAUGUAUAAAACUCUGGAAGAGUUAGAGCAAGCCGUAUAUAAGGUAUCUUGAACCGGUAACUGGUGAUAUAUUUAAGGCACAAUUUGCCGAUUGCCAUUUUAAUGAGGAUGAAUAAGAGAUUACUUGGUGUACACCGUCGUUAUUACACCUUGAUCCCCCUACAAAUCAAAGAGAGCUGGAAAUUCAGGAAAUUGUGCAUUUGCAUAAUUUGGCUAACUAGUUACCAAAUCUGUUCACAGAUACGACAUGAUAUACCCGCUGAAAAUGUUUCAUCAAGAGUUGAUGUUCCUAAAGAACAAACUGAUGGUAACAAAAUGAAUGAACCUAGGGUUCAGUUAAGGAGGGGGAGACUAGAGAUUUCUAAAGAUAAAAAUUCCCGAAAGAAAAAAAAAUUUGUUGAGCAAUACAGAAAGGUUCUGGAAGAACCUGAUAUUGUAAGAUGUCUGAAAGAAGGCAUAAGUGAAAAGGUUCCAGAAGAAACUGAUAUUGCAAGAUGUCUGAAAGAAGGCAUAAGUGAAAAUGUUCCAGAAGAACCUGAUAUUGUAAGAUGUCUGAAAGAAGCCAUAAGUGAAAAGGUUCCAGAAGAACCUUAUAUUGAAAGAUGUCUGAAAGAGGGCGUAAGUGGAAAGGUUCCAGAAGAACCUGAUACUGAAAAAUGUCUGAAAGAAGGCAUAGAUGAAAAAGUUCAAGACAAACCAAAUAAAGAUGAUUCAGAUGACGAGAAGGGAACAAAAAAGUAUGAGAUUUCCAUUAACUACGUCCUGAAAAUUAUGGAUCUGAAAUAAGAUAAAAGAUGUUGAUGGAAUGUUCUCCUUUUCCGUGUCCAAAAAGAUCGAUCAUAAAGAUGAUGAUCCCGAUCCAAGGUCCAUUUUGGAAUGGUUUUGGACUUAUAGUCAUAACGCCUGAAAUGUAAAUCCAGUGGGGGUAUAAGUGGGCAUUCGUGAGAAAAGUAAAUGAGAAGAAUGAAGUAACACGAUAUAAAGCCCGACUAGUUACCCAAGGUUUUUCUCAAAGACCGGGAAUUGAUUUUGAGGAAACGUAUUCCCCGAUAAUGGAUGCAAUUACGUUUAGAUUUUUGAUGAGCCUAACGGCGUCUAAAAAUCUUGAAAUGCACCUCAUGGACGUUGUGACUGCAUAUUUAUAUGGAUCGUUGGAUAAUGAUAUAUAUAUGAAGCUCCCUGAGGGAUUGAAAAUGCCAGGGGCAUUGAAAGAAAAAUCCAGGGAGAUUUGUUCGGUCAAGUUACAGCGAUCGCUUUACGGAUUAAAGCAAUCCAGAUGCAUAUGGUACAAUCGCUUAAGUGAAUAUCUUUUGAGUAAAGGAUAUGUGAAUAAUGCGAUAUGUCCAUGUGUUUUUAUAAAGAAAUCGUCAUCUGGCUUUGUGAUCAUUGCUGUAUAUGUAGAUGAUCGGAACAUAAUUGGAACUCAAAAGGAGGUUGAUGAUGCUCCAACUCAUAUGAAAGAGGAGUUCGAAAUGAAUGAUCUCGGCAAGACAAAGUUUUGUCUUGGGCUCCAAAUUGAGCAUCUCCAAGAAGGAAUACUUGUGCAUCAAUCAAACUAUACGAAAAGGUUAUUGAAAUGCUUUUAAUGGAUAAAGCGACUCCUUUGAGUACUCCAAUGGUAAAUAGAUCUCUUGAUGUUUAAAGAGAUGUUUUUUAAAAGAUCCUGGUAAGAUCUUAUAAGUACUUUGGAGAUGCUAAUGGUAAUAAAGCAUAUGUGAGCUUAUAUGUCUUGCAAGUUGUAUUUGAUUAUAUAUACUUUUAGACACUAAUGUCUUUGCAAGAUACAACUCAUUUCCUAUUCAUGGAAAUUAGAACGGCGUCGAGAAUAUAUCCGUUCUCUCCAAGGUAUGUUUUAUAUUAGGGUAGAUUUAUUCUAGAAAACCCGAGUUUGGUAUGGUUGGUUUUGCAGAUGCAGGAUACUUGUCAGAUCCUCAUAAGGCUCGAUCGCAAACCGGCUAUGUUUUUACAAUUGGUAAAACCGCGAUUACAUAGAAUUCCGAGAAACAAUCCUAGGUUUUGACUUCUUCAAAGCAUGUCGAGGAUGAGUAUGACUAAGGUUAAUGACUCAUCAUAUACAAGAAGCAAACGAAAUGGUUAACAAGAAAGAGCCGACAAAAGUAUUUGAAGAAAAUUCGGCUUGUGUUGCUCAACUCAAAGAAGGCUAUAUCAAGAGCGAUAGGACAAAACACAUCCCUCCAAGGUUUUUCUCGUACAUAAGGGAGCUCAAGAAAAAUAAAGAGGUGGACAUCGAUUAUGUACAGUCAUGCGACAAUCCGGCUGACUUGUUCACAAAAGCUCUACUACAAUAUUCUGAAAACAAAUUUAUGGUAUCGGAAUGCGGCAUUUGUGUGACCUAUGACGAGAAAGCUAGGUCCACUAUUCUUAGGGGAAGAUUACGACAGUGUACUAUUUUUCCUUUGUCAUGGUUUUUGUCCCAAUGGGGUUUUUCAUAACUAGGUUUUUAACGAGGCACUACGUAAUAUGAAAUGGAUAAUCAAGGUGGAGUGUUAGAUAAUGAUCAUGUGGAGUGUUAGAUAAUGAUCAUCUAUCUCAUGAAGACAUAUUUCUCAUGACUAAUAUUGUAUUUGUCAUUGUCACUAGUACACAUGUCAUUAUGUGUAUAUUGUUUGAUCUCCUAUAAAUAGGGAGAGACCGAAAAUGAAAAUCGGAAGUUCAAUACUUAUUCUCUCCCCAAUGUGAGUUUGUCUCUCACACAAACAACAUAUUAAUAAUAUAUACAAAUAAAUAAACACUUAUAUAAAUUACACAUAAAUAUUUCUUUAUCUCAUGUGAGCUAAUAGUUCACAACAAUUCUGAACUUUUUGUAUCUUUUAAUUUUAUUUCUUGUUUGACUUUUUAGACAAAUCAAACUCGUCUUCUAGUCCUAUCUGUCAAAACAAAGGUGGAUUGGUUACUUUUUUCUUGUGCAAGACUAAACUAAACGCAUCUGUUUUAUUCUCUUGAGAAAAACUAAUGACAUCCGAUAAAACUAAUGCCUUUAUAUGAUCUAAUUUGAAUUUGAUGAAUCUUGUAUGUAUUUAAAACUAAAAAUGUACUAAAAGCUAGGUCCCGCGUAUAUCCCGAGUUUAUUCCGAUUUUUCAACAACUCGCUAGACCCAGAAUCGCCGCACGGAUAGCGCCUAGCGCGAUUCCGAACAGGUGUAUUACAUAAAAAAACACUAUUCUCAAUUUAUUCCAUUAGCCUCUGGCUUUUAUCAUGUUGUUUUUGUUGUUGAUAAGAAGUAUAAACUUAUAAGAGAAAUAAAAUUGGUCCAUAUUUUACAAAAGAUAAAGAAAGAUAUAAACUAGGAUUUAAUUUUAUUGGGCCUUUUAGUUGGGCCUGAAAACCAUAAGAAAUAGGCAGCAAGCAGAAGAUCCAGUCCAAGUCUGGAGUAAACAGACUUCCCAAUUUGAUAAUCAUUGAUCCACAAAAGUAUAUAAAUAACCUUAAUAAAAUUUUCGUCAAAAACAAAAAAUGGAAAGAAAAUAAAAGAAAACCAACUCCACCAAAUUUAAUUGGUGAUAACUGAUAGAUGACACAGUCUCCUCUAUGAUAAGUAACCCAAGAGCGAGAAUUAUCUUCUGCUUCCAUCCAUUGGACCAAAAACAAGAUAAAAAGAAAAAAAAUAUCUUAAGGUGUGGAAGCUCUGCAGCUCAUCAUCAUCCAUGGCCACCAUACCCACCACUGCCACUGCUACCAUGUGUCCCUCUCCUCUCCCAACAAUUUCUCCGUUACUCAGAUCAAGUCACCAAUGUCAACCAUCUCCUUCUUCAUCAUCCCCAUCUUCCAUAAAGCUUGGCACCACUCUGUUUUUCAAUGAAGCCACUGUGGAUAGAGCAGCUGAGAGCUCCGUGAUGAUCAAACCUGAGAAAUGGGGAUCUCAGUUAGAAAAGAGGAGAAAGAGGAGGAGGAGAAGAAGAGCAGGUUUCGAGCGUCUAGAGCCUGAAGAAGAUGAUGAUGUUGACCAAGUAGUAGAACCAGUAGCAGAACCUGUUAGUGUUCCUGUUGGAGCUUCACGAUCUGGGUUCUUGAGCCGUUCAGAAGAGGUUCAGCUUUGCUUGUACCUCAAGGUAUAUAGUUCCUACAUCAUUUAUGGAAAGUUUUCGAAUAUCUCCCCAUGGCAAGAACUUAAAAACUUUAUUUUUCUGGUAACGAACAGGAAGGAGCCAUACUUGAAAACCUUGGAGCAAGUGUUGAAGAGAAUGGGAUGGUGUCAGUUUUGCUGUCAAGUACAAGCAAAGGGAAGAAGAAGCGUAGCGCUAAUGAAAUUUUAUGCAGAAGAAGAGAAGCGAGAGAAAAGAUCACUCGUUGUUACCGGAGGCUAGUUGUCUCUAUUGCAACAGGAUACCAAGGCAAAGGGUUGAAUCUGCAAGACCUGAUUCAAGAAGGAAGCAUAGGGCUUCUUCGAGGAGCUGAGAGGUUUGAUCCUGAACGUGGCUACAAACUAUCAACUUAUGUCUACUGGUGGAUCAAACAGGCCAUUCUUAGAGCUAUUGCUCACAAGUCUAGACUAGUCAAAUUGCCGGUGAGCCCUGCAUCUCUAAUUCUUACAUUUUUAUUGAAUUAAUGAGAGUCUCGAAUCCUUAUGAAAAUCAAAUAUCUUUAGACGUUACAUAUAUGCAUAAGCCAUGUCAAGUUAGCUUCUAUUGUUAAGUUAUAAUAUUAAUAAGGAAAAUAAACGACAAAGUGUUCCUAUGAAGUGGUAAGUGAUUAGUGAAUGCAUCUUUUUAGCUUUUUGUGUGUAGGGAAGCAUGUGGGAGUUAACAGCGAAAGUUGCAGAAGCUAGUAAUGUUUUAACAAGAAAACUAAGACGAGCACCAAGCUCCGAAGAGAUUGCAGAGCACCUCAACAUCAAUGUUUCAGCGGUUAGACUUGCUGUGGAUCGAAGCAGAACCCCUGUUUCCUUGGACAGAGUCGCAUCUCAUUAUGGCCGCAUGACAUUGCAGGUACACUUUCAAUUUUUUUUUCCCCAUAGUAGUUAGGGAACAAUGAGUAACUCUUUGAGAGUUUUUGACUGAUUCAGGAGAUUGUAAGGGGACCAGAUGAAACAAGGCCAGAGGAGAUGGUGAAAAGGGAGCACAUGAAGGAGGGGAUUAAGCAGCUUUUGGGAACUCUCACCGCUAGAGAAUCACGAGUAUUGGGACUCUACUUUGGUCUCAACGGAGAGACUCCUAUGUCUUUUGAAGAGAUAGGUAAGUCGUUGAAGCUUUCAAGAGAGAGGGUAAGGCAAAUCAAUGGCAUUGCCUUGGCGAAGCUACGAAAUGUACAUAAUGUGAAUGAUCUGAGAAUAUACUAUUCCUCUAGUGAAUGAACAUAAUACACAAUGACAUUGGUUGUUCAAAUAGAUUUGGUUAUACAGAAGCAGGGCCGUCUAAUGCUAGCAUGUCAUCAAUGUAGCGGUCCAAUAUGGUUCAUAUCUAAAAUAUUAAGAUUACAUCAAUGAUUUUCUACCUAAAUGACUCUUACAUCAAUCAUGGUCUAAAACUUUAAUACUUCUAAAUUUAGAGCUUAUAAUUUGAAAAAACAUCAAACUAUAUACAUAGAUAGAUAUAAACUUUUAAAAUUAUUUCAUUACAUUUUAUAUAUAUAUAUAUAUACAGUUAAUAUUUUUUUAAUAGAACCUUAAAAAUUAUUUGACACGGCACAGUACAGAAGCUUAAACUUAUAUUGGAUUUGGUUCUGUACAAAUGGAGAAGAUAGGGUACAUUCAGUGCUCUCCUUUGUGAAGGUUAUGGAGGAUAUAGAGAGAAGCAGAUGACAAGAAAAUACAAACGGAAUAGCUUAGCAAGUCUAGUCCAGUGGCGAUGGUAACCAUCUUGCUUCUUUCGAACAUCUUCACAAGAAGGAUCAUGACAAUAACAUGUCCAACUUUGGUUUUGAGCUCAUCAAGCGAGCUGAUCUUCAUCCAUUUCGGUCUCUCCUUCAUGGCAAACAUUCCAAAUAGAGAAGAGGCUUUAAGGGCACGAUCGGAUUCAGGAAGGAUAUCAGAAGGGGAGUUGCUAAUGAAUAGUCCAUACAAACCCAUGCUAAAUAUUAGCAUAACAGUCCCAGCCAGAUAAACAUCUACAAAUCAAGAAUUUUAAAGAGAAUCAGAAUUAUACAGGUCAUGCACAUAUAUAUGUAUAGAAACAUUACCAAUAGCUUCGACGAGGUGUAAAACCAUUUGGCCCUUGUGGAUGCCUUUGACACAGUUAGUCCAAUAGACUUUAUAUGCUUCCAUGACAUAGACGCACCCCUACAUAGUUAACUCACUACUUUUAAGUACAGAGAAUGUUGUAGUUGUGUCAGAACAUUUUAGAUUAAAAAACAACAAAGUUACAUUGAGGAAGCAGAGUAGCGAACCAGCCAAAGAACCACCUACUGCCAAGAGUGCCAGGAACCGAAAAUCGAAUAUGAUCUGUUCCAUUACAUAAAAAAAAAAAACAGUCAAAUAUGAUAUGUUUGUUCCAUCCAACUCUCGAAUCAUGUCAGAUCUCAACCGAAACUUUAUAUAUACAUAUAAGAAAAAGAUAAGAAGAAACAGAGUAAUAUUUCGAAAAGUUCGAUUUAUUAGUUGUUACCUUCUCGACGGUGGAUUCGGUGGAACGAAAGAAGCGAGCAAAGAGGCUGUUAUCAUCCACAACAACCUUAUCGCGGGUUCCAUAAGAACUUGACAACGUGUUCCCGUUGACAACGGGGAUCGAACUAGGGGUGGAUGAUGCCGAUGACUCUGGAGACGAGGAUGAGGCAAGAGUUGCUAACGGCAGAUGAAAACGGCGACGCGUGGGGAGCACGUGAGGAUUAGGAAGCGAAACGGAGAGUCGAGUGGCGGAGGCUAACGUGUAGAGAUUAGCCAUAUUUUGAAAGGGACAGAGAGCUUGUGAUUAGUUAUGAUAUUCUUGAGUAUAGAUGUCUGUAUGUAAUGUAACCACUGUCGGAGGCCAAGUGGACAAGUAGGAGGAACGAUCGGCGCGUGGGGAAGGCGGAGGAUUAGGCGGGAGAGAAAUAUGUGGUGUGUGGAGGUAAGUUGACUUUUCAACAAUAUUUCUUUGUCAGAAGAUUUUUUAACUUCAACCCAGGGAUAGGGACGAUCAUUUUACCCGAUAUCCGAACCGAAAUCCGAACCGAAGUAGCAGAAUAUCCGAAUGGAUAUUGAAUUAAGAGAGAUUGGAUAUCCGAACCCGAACGGGUAAUAUCCGAACCCGAAUGGAUAUCCGAAAAUAACCGAACAUAUGUAUAAUUAACCUUAUAUUUCUAGUUUACAUCUCUCAUUUUAUAUAGAAUAUUUAUAUCGAUACUACACAUAUUUUAAUUUCAUAUGAUAUACAUACAAUUACGGAGAAAAUGAUUUCCUACUCACUUAAAAUGCAUGUUAAUCUUUUUAUUUCAAGAAUUAACAAAAACUUAUAUCAAAAAUUUAAAAACAAUAAUCAAAUUAAUGUCUUUUUAGUUUCAAAAUGUUAUGUCGAGAUCUAUUAACCAUUCAAUCUAUUAAAAAUAAAGAAAUUAGUUAAGUGAAAGUUAUAUUUUUAAAUACAAUAAAUUUGAGAAAUGAAAAUUUAAUUUUGUUUUUUCAAAAUAUAAAUAUCCGAACCCGAUCCGAAAUAACCGAACCCGAACUAAAAAGAUCCAAACCCGACCCGAAGUACAGAAAUACCCGAACGGUUUCUACACCUCUAUACCGAAAUACCCGAAAAUCCAAAAUAUCCGACCCGAACUCGAACGGAUACCCGAACGCCCAUCCCUAAAUAAGACAUAAAGUAUAUGAGAUUAGUCUAAUGAGACAUAGUUACCAUUUUUGGCCUAAAAAUAAUUUUCUUUUUUAAUUAUAUAACAUAUCCUACAAAACUAAUGCAAAAGAAUGGAGAAAAAUAAGUGUGCUAAUAACACCAUCAAGAUGAUUUACUUCCAUUGUACCAUUGAUAUUAUUGAAAUUUAAAAGGAAAAUUGCAAUAUAAAAGUGAUUUAUGAAUGCCAGUUUCAAAAAAAAAAAUUUGCAAUAUAAAAAAAGUUAUACACCACAAUAGAUAAGAGUAAGACGAAUAUAACAAAGAAGAAGACGAGACUACAUUCCCCCAUAUUUUUUGCGUUGCUCAUUUUCUUGAUAACACAAAUUGUGUGCUGAAGGGAAAAUAUAAUGAGAAAAUUGGAAAAUAAAGACAUUUUAUACUUCGAUUUGUCAGAAUAGAACUUUUUGAAAAUUCUUUAGGUAAGUAGGAUUUAUAAUUUUUUUAAUACCAUAUUGCCCUCAAUUUAGCAUAGUUAAGAUUUAUAUAAUUAAUAUUAAUAUUUCGAAAUAUAUUUAACCACUUUUAAAAAACAAAAAAAUUUUUUUGUCAAAUCUUCUUCUUUCUUUGUUUGUGCUCUGAUUAUAAACUUCUUUUCUGUGAUUGUAGGUAUGUCUGAGGAGUUACCAAAGCGGUUGUUCAAGCCGGGUGAAGAGACCCAAGUGCAUAUUUGAUUCUCUUAACCGUAGAUUUCUUAAAGUUUCUCAUCACUUAAAUCCGAUUUCUCUUAUUUCUUAAUCUAAAUUACUUGAAUGGGUUGAUUAAUCUCCUUAUACAUUACGCAAUUCAUGAAUGUUAUUGUUUGGGUGUUUUGAUUUUAGUUUCUUAUCUUCGAUUUUGGUCCUUUUUUGAAAGAGGGAAAAUUGACAAAUAGAUUCGUUUUUGUUGUUUUCCGAUUCAAAGGUUUGGUUUUUUGUCAAAUCUUCUUCUUUUUUUGUUUGUGCUCUGAUUAUAAACUUCUUUUCUGUGAUUGUAGGUAUGUCUGAGGAGUUACCAAAGCGGUUGUUUAAGCCGGGUGAAGAGACCCAAGUGCAUCAGAUCAAUAACAACUGCAAGAUGGUACGCUAUUUCAAAAGAUUGAUGGAGUGGUUGCCAAAGGAGUUGGAGACAGUGAAGAAAGAUCCUGUUUUUGCUCAGAUUUUAAGCUGUUCGAUAAUGGUUUGGGAUUCUCGGUGAGAGUGAUACACGGCUUCUUGUGUAGGGAGCUGUUGACUUACAAAGAUCAUGAGCUCUGGUUUGUCUUUGCGAGAAGACCUCUCCGAUUUUCAUUGCUUGAGUUCCACGCAGUUACCGGGCUUCAGUGCGAUACUAGUCUCUCACUUAAGGAGUUGGUCCAAUCUAACUGUUUGUUGAUGUUAAUGAUGAAGGACAAAACUCACUUGUUCAAAUGGACUGAUAAGUCAGUUGUUGAGGAAAUUGAAGACUUUCAGGAUCUGUUUGAUGUGCUGCUAGUGGACAAUUCCGAGUUUCAAAAAUCAGUACGAGCUUCUGAGACAAUGCUGAAACGACAUAAGAGUAGACUUGAAGAGAUGGAAGAUGCAAUUGCUCGUUGUGAAGAAAAUUCCAUCAAAUGCAUUAGAGAGUUAAGGAUCAUCAAAGCUUUGUUUGUGUGUUGUUUUGCUAUGGUCUUCAUGUACCUUACCUAUGCAUGAUGUUCAAUUUCUUGUUCUGUUUUUUCUAAAUAAAUGUAAGACUAUGUUCUUUGAUGUUUUUGGUGAUUUGCAUCGAAUAUAACAAAAAAAAAUUGCAAAAAUCAAACUGUCAAUAUGAAGAUUCGAUUUGUCUCAACAAUGUUGUAAGCAAACAACAAAUAACAGAGAACACACACAACAAACUAGAUAGGUUUAUCACAUGUUCCUCUCUUGUGUCCCUCCAUACCACACCGGCUGCACUUGUGCUUUUUCUUCUUUGUUGAUCCUUGAGAAGAUCUAAUCUUGUCUUCUACUGUUUCAUACCUUCUCUUUACUGGUCUACCAGCACUCUUUCUUGACUCUGGUGGUAAGAUCUUCGCAAGUUUAACCUCAUCUGGGACAUUCCAUUCAGCCUCUGGAACUGGUAUGGGAUUAAUGGAUUCCGCGUAGGCAGCUCUCCACGCUGCAGUGCUAUAGACGCCAUCAGUAAAUCGGUGUACUUCCAUACCUGUGUCAAAAAAAAGACCGACCAAUGUCUAAACACUGCAAAAUGCUGGAAUAUAUAGGUACCAAGAUAAUGUUUAUAUACUUCCAUACCUCGAGAAUAUAUUGCAGGAAUAGCGUGUCUGCAUGGAAUUUUUCCUAAAUCAAAUUUCCCACAUGUGCAUGUUCUGGUUUCCAGAUCAACAUGACAAUCAUAUAUGUCUCCUUUAACAAGUGAUCUGAAGUUGUCAACCUUCUGAACCUGAAACCCUCGAGCCUUCACGAUUCUCCUAUCAAUCUUUUUCUCCACCUUAACGGUUAAAAUAUCAAUAUGUUUGGAGCUUAACAUGCGACGCUCAUAGAACCAUCGGGUCAUCAUUUCUCUUAUACUAUCUAGCAAAGGAAUUACUGGAAAUUGUCUAGGAGAUCUCAGAGCUGAAUUAAUCGACUCGGCUGGGUUAUUGGUCCUGAUGUCAUACCUGGAUCCAGGGAAGAGAGAACGAGCCCAUUUUCUCACAUCAGCCUCCUGUAGAUAUCGUCCAAGUGCCGGACUGAUAUCAACAAUUUCUGUGAAACGUUCCUGAAAUUCACUAUACCUAUAUGUGUUUGAAGCCUUCUCGACCAAAGCAGUGAACCCCUUUGUCCUGAAGAAUUUAACCACAUUGGUCAGCAAGUGGUGUAUACAAAUUCCGUGCUUUGAUCGUGGGUAGACAUCCCUGAUUGCUUUAGCAAUUGACGCAUGUCUAUCUGACACAAAAGCUAAGUCUUUACUAUCAGGAAUAACCACACUCAACUGUCUGAAGAACCACUCCCAUGAUUCUUCAUUCUCUGAAUCAGCAACUCCAAAUGCAAUUGGAUACAAGUUGGAGUUACCAUCUACAGCUGUAGCAACAAGUAGAACUCCUUUAUAUUUAUUUUUCAGAAAAGUUCCAUCAACAACAAUCACCCUACGCAUAUGACUGUGAAAUCCUCUAACUGAUUGCCCAAACGACAUAAAUAGAUACAUGAAUCUACCAUCCUUCUUAGUUUCAUAGUGAGUGUGUGUACCAGGAUUAACUUCUUUAAUCAUAUGCAAAUAUUUUGGUAUCUUUGCAUAACUUUCGUCUGGUAUACCUCUAACAGCUGCAAUUGCAUACUCACGAGCUUCCCAAGCGUGCCAAUAAGUAAUUUCGCAGCUAUGUUCUAGCCUCAUAAACUGAAUGAUGUCGUUUGCUUUGGGGCCAUCAUUGGCAUCAUCAAAUCGAUGUUGUAUCAGCUUUCCAAUAGUUCUUGCCGACGCCGUUUUUCCGAAGUUGCUUUUCUUUGAAGGAGCACAUGAGUGUAUACCCACACACUUAUUGAUCAUGAAAUAUGUAGACCCAUCAACACAUUCCGCACGCACAGUCCAGUUGCACGUAUUAUCCUUACAUCGUAUAGACCACCACUUUUUCGUUGAUUUGGUAACAAGGAAAUCGUAAUUAUUCUUCAUCGCCCAAAUUUCCAUUGUUGCCUUUAGGACACGUUUACUUCGGAAAAGUUGAUCUUUCUUCACGAAAUCUGUGUUCCCAACUCGGCUUUCCUUUUCACUAUCGCCAUACUUUUCACUCUUUGAACCAACAUGACCGGAACCAUCCUCAACGACAUGAUUCUUCCUUUUAUCACAACACUUUGUUGAUGGUUCUUCAAAAUCUCCCAGAUUUAUGUCAGGAACUUCACCUUCCUCAACAUUACUUGAAUCACACGGUUCCUUAUUCAGAUUGAUAUUGACUCGUUCCUUUUCCUUUACACCAGUACCAGUACCAAAGAACGUGACACAUAAGGUUGUAGAGGAACCCUUCUUUGUGUAGCACACAAAGUUACACACUUGUCGAUCAUUACUGAUACUAAUGGGAGGAUUUCCUCUUUGAUUGACCAUCUCAUAACUGAACUCGACAUUAACCAAAUUAGGGUCGAUCCCAUAAUCUUCACACACCAUGAUCUUGAGUUCCUCCAGUAAAGUAGUAGUUUCUAAUGUCACCAUUCGACCACGCCUUUGUUUGUCUGCCAAGAAACUCCACUCGUCACUGAAACUUGACAUCCAUACACCAGAUUUAACGUAGAUUAGAACCAUCUUGUGUUGGUUGAUAGAAGAGAUUUUUGUCGAUGAAGAAGAGAGAGGAACAAGGAACGAGGGAGAUAGAGAUCGUGUGAAGAGAAAAGGGAGAAAAUCGUGGGGGGGGGGAGAUAUUUAGGAAAUAUUUAGUUAGGAUAUAUUUAGGAAAUAUAUGAUCACAAAUUUGGAAGUUUCCAUUUUUACUUUAUUUGGCAAGAAUAUACAUCAUACGUAAGGCAGAAAUAUGUAGAGAGAAUGGAAACUACAUUCUGCCUUAGGCAGAAAUAUGUAGAGAGAAUGGAAACUACAUUCUGCCUUAGGCUAUUAUAUAGUAAAAGGCAGAACAAGGUAUGACUUGUAAAAAAGAAAAGGUAUUUCACUUACUCUAGGAUAGAACUUGUAAAAAAGCCGUAGGUAGACUGAAGAUAUCAAGAUAGAAUAUUACGACAAAAAAUCUAGCUAAGGUAAACUAUUGAAGAAAGUGUAGUUUAUAUUUUCUAUCCAAGGUAAACCUAUGUACAAUACUUUAUAUUCGAUUUGUAGACUACGUAGAUGGCUAGAAUAAGUAUUCUGUUAUAGCUUUGAUAUUAAAUAAAACAUAGUUCCACAAUUUUUAAAAAUUAAAUUUAAACAUAAAAGUAUAAAUACUUUGGUUUCUAAUGAUUCUACAUUUUUUUAUAUUUUUUUACCUAAGUUUACUAUUUUUUCCACAAUACAAGGGCAAAACCAGUCCAAAACGACCAAAGUCUUAUUUUGACAAACAAACUUCGAAAGUGUCUUGUUUUUCCAAUUCUCCCAAAUAUAAUUCUAUUUUGCAAACUUACAACAAACAAAAUCAGGAAGUUUUAGUCACUAUUCUAACAAAAUUUGUAACAAAACAAAAUAUACAGAAUAUUUUUAGAAAUUUAAUACAAAAUCAAAAACACAUUAGAAAAGUAUUUUUUAGAUCCAACAUUUUUGAAAUUGGAAUAAAAAUUCAAACAAAUUUAACUUUCAUGUAUACUUAUACUUCUAGAAAGAUUUGUUUUAUUGGUAAGAAUGUAAACUCUUAGCCACUAAUUAUACAAUACGAACCAGAAAAAUAAAAUGAACAAAUGAGUUAGGAAAUCAAAAUUUUAAAUGAUUGGAGUAUUAACCUAUUUUACUGUAAAAAUAUUUUGAAUAAUGUAAUAUGUAUUUUUAUUAUUAUUUACAUUUUGCGUUCUAAUAACUUAAAAUUCAGUUUAGUAAUUUAUAUUUGCCAGAGUUUCGGAUAUACAUAUUACAUAUUACAUAUUUAAAUAGAAAUAACAUAAUACCUUAAAAAUAAAUUAAGGAUUUAUGGAAAUAAACCCGGGCGUAGCCCGGGAAAAGCUCUAGUUCUAUUAAUAACAAAAGCGGUGUGAUGCUAUUUAGCUUGUUGUAAUGAAGUCUCCUUUCUUUUAUAUUGCUCUUCUCACUUCCAUCCUCACUGAACCGAAUGCAAGUGCAACAAAACCAUCAAGUAUAAGUAUUUCAUACCAAGACUUGUUGACUUACUGGAUGAGAUUAGUGGCGCAACCAUCUUUUUAAAAACUAACUUAAACCGUGGGAUACCAUCAGAAUGAAUGAGAAUGAUGAGUGGAAAACCGUAUUUUAUUUUCUACAACAUAUUUUUUUUGUUCAUUAUUUGUCAUUCAUUACUAUUAGUUUGGAAAAUUUAUCACUGAAUUUAUGGUAAGAAAAUGACCAUUGAUUACGUUUCUGUAAGAACUAAUUGAUAAAUUAGUUACCAAGUUAAUGGUAAGAAUCAUCAAUGACCACUCUUCUAAAUCAAAAUCAAACUUAAAUUAAAAUAUCAAAUUGUCAAUUUAAAAAAUAAAUAUUAGUAGAUAAAUAUUCCAAUUGAAAGCUUAUUGAAAUAGUAUUUUUUUUAUAAAAAAAAAAAUUAAAUUCAUUUGGAAGACUAAUCAAUAGAAGAAAAAAAGUUUAAAGUAUAAUAAAUAAUAAUUAUUAUUAUAAUAAUAUAUUUUAUUGAUAGAUAUUUUUAAAUCUUGGGUGUUUUAAUUUUACCUUUUCUGUAGGUGAUUUAAUUUGUUUUUUCUUUCCAAUUUUCAAAUUUUUUUUUGCUGAUUGUAAAAUAUGAAAUUAUAAAUUUUAUGUAUAGGUUGACCUGAUCUAGUGAUAUAAGGGUUGAUUGGUACAAGCUGUAACUUUGGAUUUUUUGCUUUAAGAUUUAAGCCGUAGAUUUUGUGGCUUUAGCUUUAAAUUUUAUUGCUGUAGGUUUAUUUCAAAGUUUUAAAAGCACUAAACCUAAAGCUCUAGAAAAAUUGAUUUCUAGAGCCAUUAUAUUUCCUUUUAAAGAUUUUGGGCUCUAGUUUUAGUUUUUAUUAAUAAAGUUUGAUUGCUUUAAUUUUAUUGCUCUAGAGAGAAUUAUGGCUGUGUAGAGCACUCACAGCCAACAUCAAUCACCCCCAUAUGUAAUCGAAUCUUACAUUUGAGCCACUAUAAUUGAAUAAAACACAGACAUGGUUAAUUUUAGGUGUCUUUUGCUCCAGUUAUAGAUAUUAGUUUUUAGAGCAUCAUUAAUGAUAUGUAAGUUAAAUGGGGUCUCUACAUAUUAUUAUAUUAAUAUUUAAAAGGAAUUUACUUGUGCAAUUUAAAUUUAUUGUGUUAAAACUAGUUUAACCAUUUAAGAAAGGGCAAGUGGCAAAUUUCAUCUGCAAUAGUUUAUUCCUAAGCUAUAACCUAUAGAUGCUGACUUUUUCUAUUUUCUCUCUUUCAAUUUUUAAUUUUAAUCAUUUCUUUUGGUAAGAAACUACGGUGAGAGAUGAUCACCGCGUGUGUUCUUAGGUUUGUGGUUAAUGAUCUUACAAUGGUAAAUCCAUCCUAUUUAAUCUCAUUCUAUUUAAAUCCCGAACCCAUUUAAAUUUAUAGUAGAAACUUCAUAAAUAAUACUCGAUAAAUUAAUAAAUUCAAUAAAUUAAUAAAUUUCGUCGGUCCAAGUUGACCCAGUUCAAAAUAUAAGACAAACCUAUAAGAUAAUAAGAUAUAAUAAUUUAGAGGAUCCUAUGCAAUUAUAUACUUCCAUUAAAAUUAUAAUUUAAUAAUUUAUAUUAUAUAAUGUAUAUAAGUACAAAGAAUAUAUUGUAUUGUUUGUUUUAUAUUCAUAAUAGAGUUUAUUUGAUUUUCUUAAAAUUUCAUAAUAUUUUAUGAUAUUUAAUAAAAUUUUAUCUUAAAAAUUAAAAUUGUAUAAUACGUAUCUCAUAUAUAUCAAAUAAUAUAAUAAAAAUAUGAAAGUAGAAUUUAUAAAAUUUAACUAAUAUAAAAAGUGAAAUCAAAUGUUUUCUUAUUUAAAAAAAAUAUAUAUUCUAAAAUAUAGAAAUUUAAAAAGGAAACUUUUUUUUUAUAAAUUAGUCUUAAAGUGUAUUAGUGUUAACCAUUUAGACCAGUGACUGGCCCAUAUAGACUUCCUUAGACUCAUUUUAAGUUGUAUGUAAUUUUUUUUAUUUUUAAUAGAUACUAAAUGAUAAUCCGCUCUUUACGUGGGGUGAAAUAUCAAAAAUACUGAUAUGUUUACAAUUUAAAAUCAAUUAUGUAUUUGCAUUUUUUUCUCUAUGUAAAAUUUAAUAAAGCAUAAAGAUGACACGAAAUAUUUAACAAUGUUUCAUAAUGUUAUUAUUUUAGCAAUUUUAUGGUGGUAGUUGUUUAAAAAUUUAGUUUGAUUUUUUUGUUUACUUUAUUAUAAUUGAUUUUAAGUUUAUAAAAAGGUAAUAUAAUUUUUACAUUCAAUUUUAUUCAGCUAAUUUUAUAGAUUCUUAAAAUCUAUGUUAAGCCCAAAAAGAAUUCAAAUGAGGUGAACUAAAAACAUAACUUUCACUUUCAUAUCUUCAAUGGAGAGAAUCGAAAUCAUUAUCUGUUCGCAAAUCGAAGAAAAAAAGGGAGAAAAAGUUAUGCAACCAAAUUUUGCUCAAACUAUUCUUUAACAUUAUAUAUAAAAAUAUGUAAAAUUUGUAAGAAUACCCCCGACUUCAUCUUCGUUUUCCAGUCUUCUUGCCCAUAAAAUAAUCACGUUUUUCUUUUUUUAAUAUAUUAAAUGACCAAACAUCAAAAGAAAUAGUUUAAUAUUUAUUUAUUUCCAUAUUCAAAGUUGAUGAUAUAUAGUAAAAUAUUAAAUGGUCCAUUUAAUGUUACUUUUUUAAUAUCUUAGUAAAGUUGGUCCAAUUAAAAAAAAGACUAAAAAGCUCACUCAGAUUGACACAUAAACAUGAUCCUUGUUGGAGUAAGCUUGAGGAACAAGUAAACCUAUUCCUAUUUGGAUUAUGAACUCUAGAGAUAAGGAUCAUAUUGUGUUUUACUACUAGGAAUAGGAAUUUGAGUUAUCUAUAAAAGCAAUGUCGUGUGUUUGACAUUAGCUAUGAGUUUUUGAGAGUUGUGACCUGAGGCUUUAGUUUUUGAGAUACUUUUCUAAAGCAUUGAGGUUUGAUUAAUAAGAAGAAUUGGUUUUUGUUGAGAUUGCUUGUGAUUCUAUAUUUGGUAUCAGAGCCACACAUCAAUCUUAACAAAGAAACAUGAGCGACGUGAAAGAAGACCCUGAGAUUGGCACCAAAAGCAAAGACAAUGGAUCCUCCUCCAUCAAACUUCCGAUGCUUUCUUCUUCAAAUUACACCGUGUGGGCUAUAAGGAUGAAGAUAGCAUUGAUAGUCAACAAGGUGUAGGAAACUAUCGAACCAGGAAACAAAUCUGAAGAUAAGAAAAACUUGGCUAUUGCGUUGUUGUUUCAAUAUAUAUCGGAGGCGUUAACUUUGCAAUUCGGAGAGUUGGAUACAUCAAAAGCAGUGUAGGAUGCGAUCAAAGCACAGCAUGUUGGAGCUGAGAGAGUACGUGAAGCUAAGUUACAAAACUUGAUGGCGGAUUUUGAUCGACUUAAGAUGAAAGAUGGAGAUACAAUUGAUAUAUUUGUUGGAAAACUAUCCGAGAUAUCAUCAAAAUCAGCUUCGUUGGGAGAGAUGAUAGAGGAACCGAAACUUGUGAAGAAAUUUCUUAAGAGCUUGCCUAGAAGGAAAUAUAUUCACAUGGUUGCCUCUCUUGAGCAGGUCUUGGAUCUUAAUACAAUAAGUUUUGAGGAUAUUGUCGGUAGGUUAAAAGCUUAUGAGGAAAGAGUCGCUGAAGAAGAAGAAGACUCGCGUGAUGACCAAGAAAAGUUGAUGUAUGCUAAUACAGACUCUAAUCAGGAAGGUUAUGGCGGGAGCUAUGGCAGAGGAAGAGGACGAGGUGGUCGCCCUAACUGGAGAGGAAGAGGCCGUGGCCGCUCUGGAUCGGUUCAGAGCCAAAAGGAAGCAUACAAACAAGGACGAGGUCGAGAUCUCUCGCAUAUUACAUGCUUCCAGUGUGAGAAACAGGGCCACUAUGCCUCUGAUUGUCCGGAUAAAGUGUUAAAAAUUCAAGAGACAGUAGAAAAGAAGGAUGAAGAUACUCAAGAAGCUGAUGAGUUGAUGAUGAAUGAGGUUUUUUACCUCAAUGAGAAGAGAGUAAACCCCAAUUUCUUUGAGACUGAAGAAGACACAAGGAAUGUAUGGUAUCUAGACAACGGAGCUAGUAAUCACAUGAGCGGGAAUCGCUUGCUCUUCUGCGAGUUGGAUGAAACUAUUACUGGUUUGGUUCGAUUUGGCGAUGACUCAAGAAUUGAUAUUAGAGGAAAAGCACGGUUUGUUUUAUAUUCAAAGGUGGGGAGAAGAAAGUCUUAAAGAACGUUUAUUAUAUACCAGGUCUUAAGAGCAAUAUUGUGAGCUUAGGUCAAGCUACUGAGGUUGGUUGUGAGGUACGUAUGAAGGAUAAUACACUAACUCUCUUUGAUCGUAUGGGGCAAUUGAUGGUAAAGACGACAAGGUCAAAGAAUCGUCUAUACAAGGUCAAUCUUGAAGUUGAUCAUGUGAGGUGUCUACAGACAACAUUAACAACAGAGUCAUCAAAGUGGCACACACGCUUAGGCCACCUUAACAAGGAGACAAUGAAGAUGAUGAUCAAUAAAGACUUUGUUGUUGGAAUCCCUAAUAUCGAAAUCAGUAAAGAAACUUGCGUCUCUUGUCUACUUGGAAAGCAAACCAGACGAUCCUUUCCACAAGCAACAUCCUAUCGAGCAAGUGAUAUGCUUGAACUCAUCCAUGGUGAUCUUUGUGGGCCUAUCACACCAACAACACCAGCACACAAGAGGUAUGUGUUCGUUCUUAUUGAUGAUCUCAUCCGUUACAUGUGGACGAUACUAUUAAGUGAAAAGAGUGAAGCCUUUGAGAAGUUCAAAAGAUUCAGAGUACUUGCUGAUCAAGAAACACAAUUUGAGAUUAAAACCUUAAGGACAUAUAGGGGAGGCGAGUUCACCUCUUAUGAGUUUCAAACUUAUUGUGAUAAGCAUGGCAUCAAGCGACACUUGACAGCUCCCUACUCACCUCAACAGAAUGGAGUUGUGGAGCGACGCAAUAGAACACUAUUGGAGAUGACAAGAAGCAUCUUGAAGCAUAUGAACGUACCGAACUCACUUUAGGGGGAAGCAAUAAGGCAUGCUACCUACUUAAUAAAUAGGGUUGCAACAAGAUCACUUGAUGGUAAGACACCGUAUGAGGCUUUAAAGAAAAGAAAACCUAAUCUUAGUCAUCUAAAGGUAUUUGGUUGUGUGUGCUGUGCACAAACAAACAAAGUGGGGCGCAAGAAGUUAGAUGACAGAACACGAGUACUUGUUCAUUUAGGCACGAAACCUGGAUCAAAAGCUUGUCGCUUGGUUGAUUCAUUGAGCAAGCGUAUCGUAGUAAGCUGUAAUGUCUUGUUCGAUGAGGAGAAGGAAUGGAACUGGAGACAAACAGAGGAAACAUAGCAGUGUGAUCCGGGAUCGUUUACGUUUGAUCUAAAGAGUUUGAGUGAUGGUUCUGAUGAGCUUGGAACUCCUGUGGGAGCUUAUGAAGAUGAUGGAGACGAGGGCUUGGUCGAUGUUGAUGACAAAGAGCUAACAGACGAUGAAGAAGAGAGCUCCCAACCAAGGAGAUCAUCACGUGUAAGUACAAGACCAUCAUACCUUGAUGAUUAUGUUCUAUUUUCUGAGAUAGAAGGAGAACGGUUAUUGUUGAUUAUAAACGAAGAACCUUGGGACUUUAGCGAGGCCAAAAGCUUGAAGGUAUGGAUUGACGCUUGCAAGGAUGAACUAUUGUCUAUUGAAAAAAAUAAAACAUGGGAUCUAGUGGAGGUGCCUGAUGGUGUGAAACCUAUUGGUCUCAAGUGGGUUUUUAAUAUCAAACGAAACGCAGAUGGGAGCAUUAGUAAGUAUAAAGCGCGCCUCGUAGCAAAAGGUUAUGUUCAGAGACAUGGUGUGGACUUUGAUGAAGUUUUCGCUUCAGUAGCUCGUGUGGAAACCAUACGUUUGAUCAUUGCUCUAGCAGCCUCAAAUGGGUGGGAGAUACAUCAUCUAGAUGUUAAGACAACAUUCCUACAUGGACAUCUUAAAGAGGAAGUAUACGUUACUCAACCGGAAGGGUUUGUUGUGCAAGGAGAAGAACAGAAGGUAUACAAACUUAAGAAAGCUCUUUAUGGUCUGCGUCAAGCUCCUAGGGCCUGGAACAUCAAAUUGAAUCAGAUUCUGUGAGUACUAAAGUUUGAAAGAUGCUCAAAAGAACCGUCGCUGUACCGUAAAGUAGUGAAACAAGAGCUUCUUGUUGUAGUGGUCUAUGUGGAUGACUUACUAGUUACAGGAUCAUCACUUCGUUUGAUACAAGAGUUCAAGUUAGAGAUGGCCGCCAAAUUCGAGAUGAGUGAUCUUGGACCUCUCACAUACUACUUGGGGACAUAAGUUUGUCAAUAUGAAGGCAGCAUUAUAUUGAAGCAAGACCGAUAUGCGCGUUGAAUACUAGAAGAAACUGGUAUGAGUUCGUGUAAUAUGACGCAUUGCCCGAUGGAGAUGAACGCAAAGUUCUCUAAAGCGAUCGAGGAGAAGAAUGUGGAUGAGAGGGAGUAUCGUCGAGCCAUUGGAUGCCUCAGGUAUUUACUUCACACCCGUCCUGGUCUAAACUUUAGUGUCGGUGUGCUUAGUAGAUAUAUGCAGUCUCCAAAAGAAUCGCAUGGUGCAGCUUUAAAGCAAGUCUUGAGGUAUUUGCGGGGAACAUGCUCACUAGGCCUUAGGUUCACGCAUAGCAAAGAUCUAAGGUUGUUGGGUUAUAGUGGUAGUUCUUAUAAUGUUGAUUUGGAUGAUGGAAAGAGCACCACUGGACAUAUAUUUUACCUUGGCAAGAGUCCUAUAACUUGGUGCUCAACUAAGCAAGAAAUCGUGGCGUUAUCAUCUUGUGAGGCUGAGUUUAUGGCAGCAACUGAGGCAGCCAAACAGGCAGUAUGGCUUCAAGAUCUCUUAAGUGAGACGGUCGGAGAGGACUGCAAACGUGUGACCAUUAGAGUUGAUAAUAAGUCAGCCAUUGCACUUACAAAGAAUCCGGUGUUUCAUGGACGUAGCAAGCAUAUUCAUAGAAGGUUUCACUUCAUCAGAGAGUGUGUUGAACAUGAACAAGUAGAGGUGGAGCAUGUGCCCGGGAAUGAGCAACGAGCUGACAUUCUAACAAAAUCGCUUGGUAGGAUAAAGUUCAAGGAGAUGAGAGCUAUGAUUGGAGUUGAAGAUGUGAGUGAAGAAGGGCUUAAGCUUAAGGGAAAGCUUAAGAGGAGAUUGUUGGAGUAAGCUUGAAGAAAUCACCUAUUCCUAUUUGGAUUAUGAACUUUAGAAAGGAUCAUAUUGUGUUUUACUAUUAGGAAUAGGAAUUUGAGUUAUCUAUAAAAGCAAUGUUGUGUGUUUGACAUUAACUAUGAGUUUUUGAGAAUUGUGAUUUGAGGCUUUAGUUUUUGAGUUACUUUUCUAAAGCACUGAGGUUUGAUUAAUAAGAAGAAUUGAUUUUUGUUGAGAUUGCUUGUGAUUCUAUAAUUCUCAAGAUUGUCAUUUAACCAAUGUUUGAGGAUUAUAAUAUCAAAUUAUUUGGAAUAAAAAUUCUUAAAUUCUUAAAAAUAAAAAGAUAGAUUUAAAAGAAAAUAUAUUUUUGAAAAUAAAGUUUUCAAAAAAUUGGAAAAAGGAAUUUUGAAAAAAAUAACUUUUUGAUUAUUUAGUUAUUAAAUAUAUUAACUUAACGGGUUAAUAGAGUAUUCGUUAAUUUAGGUAAAACACUAUCUAACAAAUUAAUUAUCCAUUUAAAACCUGCUAAGAAAACCAAUUUUAACAUCCUAUUUGUGGUUUAUGUUUACAAGUGUCAAGACCCGAAAUACAAAUACAAUAAUUCUGAAAAAUAGAACAUUAUCAUUUUUCUUUUUGAACAUAAAAAAAUAAAACAUUUUUUUUUUGAAUGAAAAAUAAAACAUUAUCAUUUUUCUUACAAUGGUUUUUGCUAUAAGCCAAAACCUAUAACUACGUAUCUACGUCCAACGAAAACAUAUGGCUUUCCUUUCGUCAACCCUUUUAUUCGGAAUGAAAUACGAAGUAAACGCAAAGAUACCACCUACAAGCAAACGAGUUGUUCAAAUAAAAAAAAAAAACAUAGAAGCAAACGAAAACAUCACAAUCAUAUUGACCUCUUAAGGCAAAGACUUGAAAGAUAAACCGUUGAUAGUGGCACCUCCGUCAACGCAGAUAACCUGACCCGUUAUAUACGAAGCUGCCGGGAAACACAGAAACGCAACAAGCGAUGAGACUUCAUUUGCCUCCCCAACACGUCCCAUUGGUGUCUUCGUCUCCACUUCUUUUUUUAACUCUUCAUGAUCCAUAAACUAAUUAAGAGAUUUUGAGAUAAGUUAAACUUCAAAUGUAAUUUUCUUAUUCUAUUCAUAGCAUUAAGAGUGUUCCAAAAAAAAAAAUUCAUAGCAUUAAGGAAAACUUUGUAUUUUUUUUUUAAUCUAUUUAUUGCCUUACUUUGUUUGCUAAAGGAGUCGCUAUGAACCAUGGACACACAGAGUUAACCCUUAUGCUGUCACUUGCCCACUCACAUGCUAAGUUUCUUGCUAGCUGAUUCAUAGCUCCUGCAACGCGUGAACAUAUAUAUAUUCUCAAAUUUAUGUUAGUCUUAGAGCAAUAAUUGUUUGAGUGUAAGUAUAUACCUUUAGUAGCUCCGUAGAUGGAUCCAACAUUGACAUGCACAACCCCAGCAGCGGAGGACAUAAACACGAUGCUCCCUGAACCAGAAGCUUUCAAAAAAGGAUGGGCGAGCUGUGAGAGAUGAAAAGCAGAUUCGAGAUUUGUUGCCAUCAGAAACGAGAAGUCUUCUGCACUAAACUCUGUGGUCGGCUUUGUUAUACAAGUUCCCGCAUUGUUUACCUAUAUGUAUAUGUAUAUAGACACAAAUCAAACACAAUAGAUAACAACAUCACUUGAUCUUGCUAAUGAUCUUUUCUUGUACAUAAACUUACAAGGAUGUUGAGUUUUCCUUGGAAGAGAGUGGAAACGGUUUCCAUGAGUUUCUCUCGUUGGACACGAGAAGAAACAUCGCAAACAGAAGUGGUAACCUGAAACCCUUUUGCUUGCCAUUCAAGUAAGCAUUCUUGAAGCUGAGUUUCGUCUCUGGCACAUGUGUGGACUCUUGCUCCCAACAUGGCUAGUUCUUCCACCACAGCCUCCCUAUUCACAGCAAACAUGCAAUGUUACUUUAUACAUCACUAAGCCUUUCUCUUUUGAGGAAAAGCGUUCAUAAUUAAUUAAACAUCAAUAUAAUUAUAUAUAGAUCUAUGGUUGAAUUGAGAAAUAAAAUCAAUUAUAAUAAUUAGUAUAGCAUAUGAAGUAUGAGGAAUUUGGACUGACCCGAGGCCUUUGGAGCCACCGGUGACAAGAGCAGUCAUGCCUCUAAGGCUCCAUCUAGAUAUGUCUCUCGAUUUUUCUCCUGUCUCACUCAUUUUUGGUUGGUUAUGAGUUCUUCUGCGAAGAUCACUUAUCUUAUAGAAAAUAUUACGUGUUUGUUUUGAACUUCGAAACCAAAAUUCAACAUUAUGACAGUAAUUUUCUUUUUCUUCAAAUGGACAAUUUUUACGGAAAAUUCCACAUUGUAAUAAUCACCUUUUUUGUUGAAUGGAAAAUCUUUCACUAAUUUUCACAUUAUGAUAAUCAAGCAGAGUUCGUGGGUAUAGUAUUAGUGCCACAUGGGUUUAUUCCUUGAUUCAAUUAUUUUGUCUACUUCGUUUUCAAAUAAAUUUGUUACCUUUUUUCGUUCUUCCCAUUUUAUUCCUUUUAAAAUAUUAUUACUAAUAAUUUUUAUAAACACGGAAAUGAAUCACAAUCACAAUUACAAAAUAAAAUAUUUUUGAAAAUAAGUCAAUACUAUUAAAGAUCUAUAUUUAAAUGUUUAGUGUUGGCAAUUAGACUGUCCACCGCCCUGAUACUUUAACUGUUUACUUGAUUACCUUAUGUUUUUUUUUAAUUCGUUAUCUAUCUAAAUAGCUUUUUAACACUAUCUAGUUAAAAAAUGAAUAUCAUGUCAUUUAUUUGAAUACGUCUCCUUAUUUGCCCAAUAAAUAGCAUCACAUAAUAUGGGACCUCUUUCCAUAUGGACCCAUACAAUUUUUAUUUUUACUCCACUUGUUAUUUAAUCAAGUAUAAUUUUGCUAUUCCACCCUGAUAAGUUUAUUAGUCAACAAACCCUACCGAUUAGUGCUCUAGGAACCAGAAUAACGCCGGACUGGGAAGGAACUGUGCGGUCUCUCACACGGAAGAGGCUCCGCUCCGCAAACCGGUCACCAUUCUUUUUCGCUUAGCUUUUCAAGCGAGUGUCUAUUGAAUAUGGAACGCAAUGGUCAAAGACAUCAACAACCUCUUCAUUCUCCGCUGUUUAUCGCAAACCAAAUUGACCAAGAGUUUCGGAGUAGAUAGAGGCGGACGCAGAGAGGAAGAGACGGGGUCACGUGCCCCCAUCUACUUUUUAUUUUUCUUUGACGAGUCGUAUGAAAUCUAUAUAACUGCUCUUUAUCCUAAAGUAAAACACAUUAACCUGGGCAUCUUAGCUCUGGUGGUAAAGGGCUCACAGCUGUGAGUACCGCCACCUGGGUUCGAUUCCCGGUCACUGCGAAAUUUAACAUUCGGGCCGCAGCGACACAGAUUAGUCUCUUGGAUCUGGGAAGCCUUUGGAAAAACUGUGUAUAAUUCAAAAAAAAAACAUAGUGAAAAAGUUUACCGUGCCCCCACUUAAAUUCAAUCCUACAUCCGCUACUCCGAUCGAAUCCCUCCCCCCUAGAGGUGACAAUUACUCGAAGCUACUCAAGAUGGAUUUCUGCAAGUUAAAUCCCAAGGCUAUAAGGAUCUCUCUAUCGCCAUAGCCUCCCUAUUUUUUUUUCAGUUGUACCAGCCUGCUCUGUUUUUCUUUUACACGUGAUCCUUACUGGUAUGUGUACAUAACAAAAUUUUGUUCUUUGUUGAUAAAUAUAAGGGAAAUUGAACUUUAUAACCAUAAUUUUUUUUAUUAUUCACCAAAUAACCAUAGGGUGCAAGUGCUAUAAUAUAAUUCAUAUUAGUUGAAGAAAAAGACCAAUUUACCUUUGACUCUAAACAUGUAUGAUAUCAGAUAAAAAAAACAACAAGUAUGAUAAAGUAAAAUAGUAUGGCAAAUAAAAUAGAAAAGUAAAUCAUAUGUAAAGGAAAUUGUAUAUUGUGGUACUUGCAGGGCAUGGUUGAGAUUGGAUGUUUAUGAGAAAGGUUUUGUUCGAUGUUUUCUGAAAAAUCAAGGCUACAGUGGUGGUAGAUUGAGGUGAAAGACCUGAUAGAGAAAGAAAAAAUGAUAUUGAUAUCAAGGUAAUUGUUUUCAAAGUGUAAGAAAAAAAUCCCAGACGCCUUGGAGAAAACGAUUAAUUUUGACGCAUUCUUUUUUUUGUUUGGCGCAUUCUAUACUAUUUGUAUUAUAGAAUAGUAUAGUUUUCUUUUGUGUGUUAAUAUAUUAUUUUGAGUAAGAUAUUGAUCGAAUAGUCUUGAACGUGACAUCUCUAAUUGUAUUUUCAAACUUAUAUUAUUGCUAAAGAAUUUGCACCAUAUUUUAUCUAUAUUACACUAUUUGUCUAUUUGUAUUCUUAAUACUGUUUUUUUUUGUUAAACAAAAAAAAAUACUGUUUUUUUUUGUUUAUGGUCUUCUUCAUAGAGUUUUUAACUAAUAUUAUAGUAUACUAUUUUAUUUCGUAGAAAUAGUAUAAUAUAAUAAAACAAUUUUUUUUUUUUCUUUGAUUUUUUUUUCUUUCUCAUUCCUCUCCUCAUACUUCUCUCCCUUCUCCUUACCCUCUCUCCCCAGCCCCUCCCGUUUAGUUUUUUUGCUUCAUUCUCAUUCCUUUUCCUUAUUCUUUUCCUCCUAUUCAUUCUGCUUCUUUUCUUUUUUGCUUUCUUCCUUUUUCUGUUAUAUUUCUUAUUUCUUACUCUCUUCUUCCUUCACCUUUUUUUCCUAUUAUCUUUGCAGUUAUUAAAAUAGAUGGAACAAAUGAAUAACAUACAUUGUAUUGAUAUAAACUUAUUAAACUAUACUACUUGUGUAAUAUAUACAAUAUAAUAUGCAAGUUGUAUGUAUCAUAAAACACAAAACCAUCCGUAGAAAAGGAUAUUUUUUUUCAAAUUUUGUGUAAAAUCGUCCCAUCCUUCACUUGCUUUAUUACAAGGUCAUUUAGUUAAUAUUUUCUCUCAAAAUGGUUAGUAGGCAAAUUAACCCUUGAUAUAAUCACAUUUCAACAAAAAAAAAACCCACACCGACUAGUCUACUAAUUGACAUGACAUUUGUGCAACUAGUCUUUAAAUAUUAUAUCAUUAAGAACAAAAUAUUAGCAGCAACCUCUAUAUGACCCCAUGAAAGGCUUACCCAACAUAAGAAAAACAAAAAAACAACGGCCAUCAGUUACUAAAUUAGCUGCAACAUAUACAGAGCCGUGCCUCCCUUAUGGAAAAUGAAGCACUCGCUUAGGACAGCAUUUUCUAAAAUAAAUAAUAGGGCAUUUUGCAAUAGUUAUUUUUUUUUGCAUUUUUAUUAAUUAUAUUAUUUUAGUUCUAGAUAAGAAGACAUUUAUAUACAGUAUAUGGAUUUAUGUUCGAAAUUCUAUAGUAAUUUGGAUAAGCUGAAUAUGGACUAAGUAAAGAUAGUAAGAGAAUAUUGAUUGCUAUAGUUUUAUGGACAUUUUCAUAGUUUAAAUAGUAGAAUAACCAGACAUUUUUUAACAUAGAAUAUUUUUAAUGAUACAAAAUACGAAAAGUAUUAAGUGAUUAAUUAUUUUCCAUUAAAAACUGCUUAGGAAAAUUAAAAUUAAAUUUUAGUCACUAAAUUUUCAUAAAAAAAAUAGAACAAAAUUAUGUCUAAAAUGAAUAUUUAGUUUGUUGGUGUUUCUCAUUGUGUUUUCUCUAUGACAGUAGUAUUUAUUAUUAUAGUUUUUCUAAAAUCUAAAGCACUAACCAAGAGCUCUUGGUCUAGUAGUAAUGAAACUUCAGCUAUAGUUUUCCUCUUGGGUUUGAGUCGCCUUGGCCACUUUCCCAUCUAUAACUGUAUGCCCGGAUGGAAGGUCUCGUGGAGAUUAAUAUAAGGCAUUUUAUUUUCUAAACGAAGCUAAGGUUUCAAGAGUGGAUUUAAAACCAAAACUCUAAGUUUAUAUUAAUAUCAAAUCAAAGGUAAUUUGUAAAUAAAACAUAACCUCCAUAUAUAUAGACUCACACACGAGCUAUAUCAACUAGGAGUUGGAAAACAACUAAACCGACUUUAAUAAAAGACAUUAAGUAAAAAGGAAAACAUUAACACCAAAAUCAACGGGAAAUAGGAAGUCUACGCUACAUCAGGUCCCCCCCGUACGGAAGAUUUGUCUACGAAUCCUGACAUUGUAGCAUCAUCCGGUUCACACUUAAACAAAUGCUUCACAUUGAAAACGUCUGCAGUAUGGACGUGAGGAGGAAGAGAAAGGCGAUAAGCAUUCGCAUUGAUCUUCUCGACUAUCUCGACAUGACCUAUCUUGCGGGGCUUGAGUUUGUUGUACUGACCGGUUGCAAAACGUUCCUUCGUUAAGACGGCCCAGACAUGAUCCUCGAUGCUAAAAUAAACUUCCCGACGAUGUACAUCAGCCGCGGCUUUUUAUUGGGUUGCAGAGGCGACCAAGUUGCCGUGAGCGCGAUCUUGCACCAUUGAAAGCUCGGCCAGCAUCUCUACUGCACGUCCAUGGAACUCCGAUGGAUUAGGAAGAGACGUCAAUGCUAGCGGACCACGCGGAACAUAACCAUAGAUAACCUUGAAGGGACUAAACCCGAGACUCCGAUUAUGGGCGUGGUUAUGUGCAAACUCAGCUUGACAGAAACAAGAAUCCCAAGAACGAAUGUUCUUGCCCACCAAACAUCGAAGCAUAUUGCCCAAUGAACGAUUUACCACCUCUGUCUGACCAUGAGACUGAGGAUGGUACGCGGAACUCAUGUUUAAAAUUUUCUUGAGAGGUUUCCACAGAGAUCGCCAAAAGUGGUUGAGAAAGUGAGAGUCACGAUCAGACACAAUCGUCAUUGGUAACCCAUGAAGACGAUAGACCUCGCGACAGAAUAAAAGAGCCACCUGAACAGCAUCAGUCAUUUUUUUACACAGAAUGAAAUGUACCAUCUUUGAGACACGAUCCACAACGACGAAGAUAGAAUCAUUGCCCCGCUGUGUUCGAGGCAACCCCAACACGAAGUCCAUACUCAAGUCGGUCCAUUGUUGUGUCGAGAUCGGUAAAGGCAUGUAAAGCCCUGCAUUCGAAGCCUGGCCUUUGCCCUGUUGACACACCGUGCACCGUGCCACAAACCUUUCGACAUCACGGCGAAGAGUAGGCCAGAAGUAAGACUCGGCGACCAACUUUAAAGUUCUGUCCCGACCGACGUGUCCCUCGUUGUGGAGCUCGGUAAUGAUUUGUAAUCUGAAACUACCAGACGUAACACAUAACCGAUUGUGGAGAAAAAUAAAAUUAUCCACGAGCGAGUACUCAUUGACAACUCCUUGCGAUAGGUCAUUCCAUAUGGGCGCGAAGAAGGCAUCUGACGCAUAUAGAUCAGAAAGACACUCAAAGCUCGACACAGAGACUGUAACGUUGCCACAAGGGAGUGACGACGAAUCAAAGCAUCAGCAACCUUAUUCAUCUUGCCCGACUGUUGUUUAAUGACGAAUGUAAACUGUUGAAGAUAGGCCGUCCAAGAAGCAUGUCUUGCAGAAAUCUUGUCUUGCGUCCCUAAAUACUUUAAGGCGACAUGAUCGGUGAACAAAACAACCUCUUUGUGUGCCAGAUAAUGCCUCCAAUGCUUGAUAGCUUGCACAAUCGCAUAAAACUCGAUAACAUACGUGCUAUAACGAACCCUAGCGCCUGCCAUCUUUUCACUGUAAUAGGCAACAUGGCGGCCAUGCUGACUUAAGACCGCAUCGAUACCCAGCUUGCUGGCAUCACAAUGAAGCUCGAAAGGUACCUCAAAAUGUGGAAGGACCAGAAUAGGGGCCGUGGUAAGCUUGAGCUUAAUGAGCUCAAACGCACGAGAAGCUUCGGGCGUCCACUCAAACAUUGUUUGCUUCAUAUAAUCGGUUAUUAGAGCCAUAAUUGCACUGAAAUUGUGGACGAACCUUCGGUAAAAAGAUGUCAAUCCAUGGAAGCUUCAUAUCUCUGUAAUGGUCGUUGGCGUGGGCCAAGAAGACACUGCCGCUACCUUCUGUGGAUCGACGCGCAGUCCUGAGGCAGAGACGACGUAUCCAAGAAACAAGACCUCUGAAACUCCAAACUCACAUUUGUGUUGAGCAACGAACAACUGUUCUCGGCGUAGUACUAGUAAAACCUCUCGGAGGUGAAGGAAGUGAUCUUCGAGGGUCGAACUAAAAAUAAGAAUGUCAUCAAAGUAAACCACCACGAAUUUAGCAAUAAACGUCCGAAGAGCCUGAUUCAUGAUGCGCAUGAACGUACUCGGAGCGUUUGAUAACCCAAAAGGCAUUACCAACCACUCGAACAAUCCUUCCCUCGUCUUGAAAGCCGACUUCCAUUCGUCCCCAGGUCGGAUACGAAUCUGGUGAUAGCCACUCUUUAAAUCCAAUUUAGUGAACACUGAAGCUUUGCCGAUUUGAUCAAGAAGAUCAUCGAGGCGAGGAAUCGGAAAUCUGUAUCGGGUUGUGAUCUUGUUGAUUGCUCUGCUAUCGACGCACAUCCACAAAGUUUUGUCUUUCUUUGGAAUAAGUAGAGCCGGAACUGUGCAGGGACUUAGACUUUCGUGAACAUAUCCUUUAAAAAGUAGCUCAUCUACCUGUCAUCGCAAUUCCUCGUGUUCCUCUUGACUCAUGCGGUAAUGUGCUCAUUUAGGAAGCACUGAAUUAAGUUCCAAAUCGAUAUGGUGCUGUAUAUCUCUUAAAGGUGGUAAUCCUGCCGGUAAUUCCUAUGGGAAAAGGUCCUUGAACUCGUCAAGUAUGGGGGUGAAUGAAGCAGGAACGGUCUCCUUAUGAACUGGUGGCGGAUCAGAGUGGCAACCAGAGCAUAAAGAGGGCAGUCAUCGCGAAGCUCACUUUCGAAUUGUGCCUUGGAUACAACAAGCUGACUUUUCUUGGAUGUCGAUUGUUCCUUGUUGAUCACAUAAUCCGGUUCGGGAGCUGGAAGCAAUGUGAUUUUCCUUCCUUGAAACAUAAACGAGUGUGUGUUAUGUUUGCCGUUAUGAACCACCUCUCGAUCAUAUUGCCAUGGCCUUCCUAGGAUGAGAUGAGAACAUCCAUUGAAGCGAUGUCACAAUAAAGUGUGUCCUUGUAGAAAGAACCCACUGAAAACGUUAACAACGUUCGUUGUGAGACAAAGACCUCGGCGCCGGUUUGCAUCCAAAGGAGGUGAUAGGGAUGUGGGUGCGCUUAUGUCGUUAAGGCAAGCUUACGCACAGCCUCCUCUGAAACGACAUUGGAGGAACAGCCGGAGUCAAUAACAAAUUUACACACUUUUCCUUUAAUUGUACAGGUAGAGUUGAACAAAGCCGUCCGUUGCCAAGCUUCACUUGUCUGUGGGGCCAUGCAAUUCCUACGUAUCAAAAGCAUUGUUCCAGUGUCACCAUUGACUUGCUCUUCAUCGAUAUCAUCAAAACGUCCUUCUUCUUCAUCAUAGAUAGGAUCCCCAAUAAUGUCUCCUUCGUGUGCCAGCAGUCCAUGCUGACCUUUAUUAGGACAUGCCGUUUGAAUGUGUCCUCGCUCCCCGCAAGUAAAACAUCGUAGGGCAUUAGGUCGAGACGGUCGUGCCUCUGCGUCCUGCGCCACAGGUUCAGUAGAACGGGUCGUUGUUCGUGUUCCUGUCGACGUGUCUAAUGUAUCGUCGGCGCUGAUUGUGGUGUUGCGUUGUUUGUUGUUCCCUGUCCAUUGAUUAGGGCUGAAACGAGAUUACUGCUCAACUAGUAGUGCUCGUUGUCGUGCUUCGGAUAUCGAACAUGGAUCAAAUUGGUGUAACAUCGUUUGUAGUUGGGGGCGUAAUCCGGCGAUGAACCUUGCGACCAAUUGAUCUUCCGAAUCGUGGAUGUCUAUCCGAGUCAUCAUCUUAUAAAAUUCUGUUGAAUAGUCUUCUACGGAACGAUUUCCUUGACGAAUGUUAUGAAAUUUUUGAAAUAAUAGACGUUCAAAGUUAUAUGGGAUGAACGUCUUUCUCAUGUGCUUCUUGAGUUUAUCCCAAGAGGAAAUUUUCUCUUUUCCCCGUCGAGUACGAGAAAGCUUAAGUUGACUCCACCAAGAUGCGGCGUGGCUGCAGAAUCUAGUAGCCACGAGAGGAACUUGUUAAUCAUUCGAUACGUCUUUGAAUUCCAAGAAUUUGUCGACUGUGGCAAACCAAUCCAGAAGGUCUUCCGGUUUAGAUCCACCAUUGAACUCGGGGAUAUCGAGUUUGAUGCCCGAGGUCCAACGAAUUUCAUGAUCGUUUCUGGGUUGACGAGCACGAGCUGUUUGGUGAUUACGUUGCUGUUGUUGAUUGUCGUUAUAUCCAAACAGGUUGUCCUCAUCAGAGCCCUCCUCGUGUUCUUCGUAAACAAGGUUGUGGUGACAGUUGUUGCGUUGUUGCGGUGCUGCUUGAGCAGCGAGUGCUGUGUUUGCUGUAAACGCUGCUUGAACUCUGGCUUGAACUGCAUCAGCCAUUGUUCGUCUCAUAUUGUCCUGAAAAUUUUCUUGGAAAUCUUCGAGGAAUUGCUGCAUCUGCGCCCAGUCAUUAGGACGAGGUGCCAUUGAAAUCGCAGAUCGAUAAUCACAAAGAGAAUUGUAAUUAAAUGUCUCUGAUACCAACUAACGGAGCAGAAAUAGUUGAGGUAACCAAUAACGCGAAGAUAACAUUGAAUUCUGAGAAUGCCCGUUAACUAAGCCUUCUUAAAAUCUGUUGAAUUCUCAAAGAAUGCCCAAAAACUAAGGUUGCAAGAGUGGAUUUAAAACCAAAACUCUAAGUUUAUAUUAAUAUCAAAUCAAAGAUAAUUUGUAAAUAAAACAGAACCUCCAUAUAUAUAGACUCACACACGAGCUAUAUCAACUAGGAGUUGGAAAACAACUAAACCGACUUUAAUAAAAGACAUUAAGUAAAAAGGAAAACCUUAACACCAAAACCAACGGGAAAUAGAAAGUCUACGCUACAUCAAUUAAUGACUGAUAAACACAAUAUCAAGUUAACUGCAUAGUAAUAUUAGUCAAUGUUAUCAUAAACACUUCAUUGUUAUCAAUCAUAACUUUAGUAAAAAAAAAUUGUUAAUUGUAGUAAACUUAAGGAUUUAGAAUCUGUAAGUUUUUAUUUCAUAAUCAUAAGUUGUUAACUUUUUUUUUAGAAUCUGUAAAUGUGCCCUUUAUAUAUAGGAAAUUACAAGAUAGAUAAAAGGAAAUAGUAUAAAUCAUAACCAUAAAGGAAAAAGGAAAACAAGGUAGCCGCCUAUCUCUCUUUGGCCGACUCUCUCUCCUCUCUCUCUCCUGCAGAUUUGCCUCUAAUGGACGGGCCGGUUAUGGACAUCCAUCAUAUGAUUUAUAACACACCCCUUGGAUGCCAUAACCAUACAUGGAUUGUAUACGCUUUGGAUGUUGCCUCAUUAAAACCUUUCCACGAAAGCCCAGUGGAACGAAACCAUGGUGAAGGAAAAAUAGUAUAACACGUAUACUCCCCCUGUUCUGAUCAUCACUGAAGAUCCAUCAGUCUACGCAUUCCAAUCUGAGGUGUGAGCUUCCUGAACGUAGAAGUCGGAAGUGAUUUGGUGAACAGGUCGGCUGAGUUGUCACUGGAACGUUGAACCACUUGGACCUCACCAGCCUUUUUUAAAUCGUGAGUGAAGAAGAACUUGGGCAAAAUAUGCUUUGUUCUAUCUCCUUUGAUGUAGCCAUCUUUGAGCUGAGCAAUGCAUGUUGCAUUGUCUUCAUACAUCACGGUCGGUUUCUUGCACUCGACCAUCCCACAAUCUGAUCGGACAUGUUGGGUCAUCGACCUCAACCAGACACAUUCGUGGCUGGCCUCAUGUAUGGCCAAUAUUUCCGAAUGGUUCGAAGAUGUGGCCGCGAUCGUCUGCUCCAUAGAACGCCAUGAUAUGGCCGUACCUCCACGUGUAAAAGCAUAUCAUGUCUGUGAUCGAGCAUUGUGUGGAUCUGAUAGAUAGCCUGCAUCAGAAAAGCCAACUAAACCAUCUUUGUUAUGGUUAGUAUAAAAUAGACCCAAGUCUUCCGUUCCUUGUAGGUAACGAAGAACAUGUUUAAUCUCGUUCCAGUGCUUUUGGUUCAGACAAGAGCCAAACCUAGAUAGUAGGGUCACAGCAAAACUUAUAUCAGGCCGUGUGUAAGUUGCCAAGUACAUUAAAGCUCCUAUGGCACUGACAUAUGGCACUUCGGGACCUAGGAAUUCUUCAUCGUCCAUCUUGGGACGAAAUGGAUCAGUGUCCAGGCCGAGAGACCUCACGACCAUGGGACUGGACAGAGGAUGGCAAUAGGCCAUAUUGAACCUCUUGAGUACCUUUUCUGUAUAUGCCAUCUGAUGCACAAGGAUUCCAUCAUUUAUGUACACAAGUUGUAAUCCCAAACAGAAUUUUGUUUUUCCAAGAUCUUUCAUCUCGAAUUCUUUCUUGAGGUAUUCAACUGUUUGGGAAAUCUCUCCAGAUGUUCCUAGGAUAUUCAGAUCAUCAACAUAUACUGCUAUGAUCACGAAUCCUUUAUUUUUGAAUUUCUUUAUGAAAAUACAUGGACUGAUCGGAUCAUUUCUAUAUCCUUCUUUCACUAGGUAUUCACUCAUUCGAUUGUACCACAUCCGACUGGAUUGUUUCAGUCCAUAAAGAGAUUUAUGCAACUUAAUACAAUGUUGUUCUCGAGAACUCUCUUUGCUUUUCAAUUCAAUACCUUCUGGAACUUUCAUGUAAAUUUCAUUAUCCAGUGGAUCAUAUAAAUAUGCGGUUACUACAUCCAUUAACCGCAGGUUUAAGUUUUCUCUUAUGGCCAGACUUAUCAGGAAUCUGAAAGUUGUUGCAUCCACCACAGGAGAAUAUGUUUUCUCAUAAUCGAUUCCUGGUCUCUAUGAGAAUCCUUGUGCAACAAGCCGGGCUUUAUACCUCACGACUUCACCAUUUUCAUUUCUUUUCCUCACAAAGACCCAUUUGUAUCCAACUGGUUUUACAUCAAAUGGUGUUCGGAUUAUAUGGCCGAAAACACCUCUCUUCUUUAAAGAGUUUAACUCCACGUUUAUAGCUUCUUUCCAUUUGAUCCAAUCUGAUCGUUGAGUGCACUCAUAAAUAGACGUGGGUUCAUGAUCCUCGUUUAAAUCCAUAAGUUCAAGUGCUACAUUGUAUGAAAAUUUAUCAUCGAUGUCGACAUCCUUUCGGUUCCAUUUUAUCCCAGACAAGACAUAGUUUAUUGAGAUCUCAUUGUUAUCAGAAACUUCAGUACCAUGAAUCUUGGCGUCCCAAGAAUCAUUGUUUGGUACAUCAGAGCCGGCCACAUCAAGGGCAUCAGGGUCGACCACGGCUGUGUCUCGGGAUUUCGGAUCAGCCGCGACCGUGUCUCGGAUAUCAUGUCCCUCGGUAUCCAUUUCAGCACCUUUCUUUGUUUUCCGAGGGUUCUUAUCUUUGGAACCUAUUGGUCUACCACAUUUCAAACAUUUUCUAGACUCCCUGGCAACUUGAUUGUGUCCCUCUUGAACAUCAAUACGAAUUGGUGCAUUAGCAGCUGGUAUAUGUGACUUUGUCACUCUAUUCGGGUCAGAAAAGGAAUCUGGCAAUUGAUUAGCUAGCUUUUGUAAAUGUAUAAUCUUUUGAACGUCUAGAUCACAUUCUUGAGUUCGAGGAUCUUGCCAAGAUAUGGAUAUUUGAUUCCAUGAUAUUUCUUUUACCAUUUUACUGCUAUCUCCCUCUAAUGUUGGAAGUUCGGAUUCAUUGAAAUGACAAUCCGCGUAUCUAGCCUUAAACACAUCACCCGUAAUUGGCUCGAGAUACUUUAAAAUCGUGGGGGAAUCAAAUCCAACAUAUAUCUUCAUCCUCCUUUGAGGUCCCAUCUUUGUUCUCUGUGGUGGAGCAAUUGAAACAUAAACGGCACAGCCGAAUGUCUUAAGAUGGGAAAUGUCUGGCUCGUGACCCGUAAGCAAUUGUGAUGGGGAAUAUUUUUGUUCACUAGAUGGCCUGAUGCGUAUGAGCUCGGCCGCUUGAAGGACGGCGUGUCCCCACGCUGAGACUGGAAGUCUCGACCUCAUGAGUAAUGGUCGAGCUAUGAGCUGUAUGCGUUUUAUAAAUGAUUCGGCCAAGCCGUUCUGUGUAUGUACAUGUGCCACGGAGUGUUCCACAGUUACCCCCAUGGACAUAGAGUAAUCAUUAAACGCUUGGAAAGUGAACUCACCACCAUUGUCAAUACAUAUAGUCUUUAAAGGAAAAUCUGGAAAAUGAGCUCGUAAUCGAAUUAUCUGAGUAAGCAAUCUAGCAAAUGCCAGGUUGCGGGUCGACAGGAGACAGACAUGCGACCAUCUAGUGGACGCAUCAAUAAGGACCAUAAAAUAUCGAAAUAUCCCACAAGGUGGGUGUAUUGGUUCAUAGAUGUCUCCUUGAAUUCUUUCCAGAAAGUUUAUCGUUUCCUUAGUGACUUUGACUGGUGACGGCCUAGAAAUGAGUUUCCAUUGGGAACAAGCAACACACGUUAGGUGCUUAGGGAUAAUUCGUUUCUCUUUAAGGGAAUGACCGUUUGUGUUCAGGAUCAGUUUACGCAUUAUGGUCGAACCGGGAUGGUCAAGCCGGUCGUGCCAUAGAGUGAAAUUGUCGAUUGCCUCUUUGUUAAAAGUGGCAUUGGCCUCGAUCAUACUGAGUUUAGCAUGGUAAAGACCAGUAGAUAGUGCGGGUAUGGAUUCUAAAACUUUCUUAUGACCUUGGGCGAUUUCAAUGAUCUGAAGGAACUCUUUGUUUCCUUCGCCCUUGGUUUCAAUAUGAAAUCCAUUCAUUCGAAUGUCUUUAAGGCUUAAUAGACUUCUCUUAGAGUUGGGUGAAUACAAAGCAUCUGAUAUUUCAAGAUGUGUGUCCAUAGGCAACAUGAUAUUAGCCUGACCGUGACCCUCUAUGAGACUAGCUAUACCCGCAAUGGUGGAGAUGUUGGCGUUUUUAAAGGUUAGGUUUAUGAAGUAUCUCUUGUCUUUUAAGAUCGUGUGGGUUGACCCACUGUCCACAACGAGUACAUCCUUAUUCUUGUUCAUUUCUAAAACAAGAUUCAUAGGAUGAUACUUAGAGACUUCAUAUAUAAAAUCAUUCAUUUAUUAUUAAGUUUUAAAACAAGUUCAAAGAAAUGACAAAAUAGAAAUGAAAAACACCCAAGCAAAGAACACAGAGUUUAGAUUACAAAUGUCGAAAUCAAUCUUCAGUCUUUUAGACAAUAUGAAGUUUCAUAAUCCAUAAGAUCGUCCUUCUCAUGAUUGAAGUCAUUUUCAUCAUCUUGAUAAGUCAUAUGGGCUUCAGGAUUCUUCCCUUUUAAACUCUCUUGAUAGAGGUCAACUAGAUGCUUGGGAGUCCUACAAGUCUUAGCCCAAUGAUUUCCCAUUCCACAUCUAUGGCACACUGAUUUGGUUGAGUUGGUCGAGUGUUGAGGUUUGAAUGAAGAUCCACGGCCGUGACCAUGAACUCUUACAAAUGAGCCACGGUCACGCCCAUGGUCUCUACCAUGUUGAUUCCCUCGCCCGCGGCUAAAGGAGCUUCGGCCAUGGCCACAUCCGUUUCUAUUACCUCGACCACGGCCAUGAUGGCUGUUUCCUUGAACGUGAUGGGAUUCUUUAUUGUCCUCAGUGGUGUGUGCUUCAGGUGGUGGUGCUGAGCCAGGAGGUCUCAUCUCACUGUUUCUCAUCAAUAAUUCAUUGUUCUGCUCAGCGAGCAAGAUACAAGAAAUAAGAUUAGCAUAGGUUUUGAAACCUUUCUCACGGUACUGUUGUUGUGACAGCACAUUGCUUGUGUGGAAAGUGAAAAAGGUUUUCUCAAACAUAUCCUGAUCCGUAAUACUUUCACCACACAGUUUCAAUUUUGAAACAAUCUUAAAUAGUGUCGAGUUAUACUCGUCCACGAACUUGUAGUCCUGGAUUCUGAUAUUCCUCCAAUCAAACCGAGCCUUUGGUAAGAUCACCGUUCUCUGGUGAUCAUAUCUCGAUUUCAAUUUUGUCCAAAGAUCUAGUGGAUUCUCAAUGGUUAGAUACUGAUCUUUGAGACUCUCAGCUAGAUGAUGGCGAAUGAUCAAGAUGGCUCUGUAUCGAUCUUUUUCACUGGUAUUAUUGUCCUCGGUGAUACACUCACCGAGACCCUUGGAUUUUAGGAUGAUCUUAGCAUCAAGCGCCCACUGAAGGUAAUUAUCUCCAGAGAGAUUUAGGGCAGCAAAAUCCAAGUUAUUGAUUUUCGACAUCUGAAAUCAUAGAUUAUAUAAUUUAGAUCUUUUAGGAAUAAUUUUAAUGUUUAACUAAGUUUUUAAGUUUAAACAAGCAAUCAAGCCUCACGGCCAGGAUCUAAACCUCAUGGCCAAGGUAUAUGUAUGCAAGGUAAGCCACGCAGAUAUGGAUGUAAUCAGUUCGAUCUUAUGCAUUUAGUUCAUUGUGUAAUUGCAAUCCUAACAUACAUUGUUUCUAUCGAUUCAUAUGAUGCAAUCAAUACAAACAAACUCUCGAUCAAGCAAAGAACAAGCCAUACGGCUACUUGAUUUUAAUUCAAUACCAUUCCUAGAAUAAGGUUCUAAGUGUAAUUGCAAUCAAUCAAUUGUGAUUAGGUUAUGUAUGUAUGCAACAAGGCCGCACAGCCACGAGGUAUGAUCAAGUCUAGAACAAUUAACCUAGCAUGCAGUUUCAAUUUCAACCAGACUAUACAGUUUCAGAUUCAGUAUUAAAACAAUCUAGACUAGGUUAUUAGGGUUUCAGUUUAAACAAGCCAAACAAUUUCAAUUCAUUCAGAUUCGAGUUUAAACAAUCUUAGCAACAGUUCUAGGUGAUCAAAUCAAUCAAUCAAGAUUUCAAAUUCAAACAAUCAAAACCGAUUUUCAAAAUUAGGUUUUAGGGUUUCGAUUUGAUCUUAGAUCAAAGGAGUUUGAUUUGAGAUUCAAAAUCAUCAAGGAUUUCGAUUUUAAUUGAACAAUAGAUCAAUCUCGAUUUAGGGUUUGGGGUAUCGAACUUUUAGAGCUUCGAUUUACUCAUUAGGGUUUGAUCUAUUAUCCUAUGGCUUUUAUCAUCAAGAUUAGGUUUUAUGGUUUCAUUCUUUAUCAAUCAACUCAAUUCGAUUCAUAUGUUCUUAGAAUUCGAAUUACCUUUAGCUUAGUUGAUUGUUGAAACCGGACCACCAAAGAAUGAACCUCGAGCUGGACUGGACGCGAGCUGGCUUGGACGCGAGCUGGAUGCGAACGGAUUGAGGCUGAGGUCGCGAGCGGCUGAUCGGGGACGCGAGCUGUUUGCUAUCGGAUCGCGAGCGGCUCUGAUGCGAACGGGACACUUGCUGUCUGGAACGCGAGCUGGAUGCGAGAUGGGGCUGAGUUCGUAUAGAAUCAGGAACACCUUGGGGCUGGAGCUGAUCGGGGACGUGAGCUAGAACAAGAGAUGCGAUCAGAUUAGGGUUCGUCGGAUACGCCGGCUACGGUUAGGGUUUUAGGGUUUAUCGAUUUUGUUUUGGCUCAGAGUGUUUUAGAGUUUCGUGUUGAUAACGUGUUGCAAACUUAAGGAUUUAGAAUCUGUAAGUUCUUAUUUCAUAAUCAUAAAGUGUGCGCUUUAUAUAUAGGGAAUUACAUGAUAAAUAAAAGGAAAGAGUACAAAUCAUAAACAUAAAGGAAAAAGGAAAACAAGGUAACCGCCUAUCUCUCUUUGGCCGACUCUCUCUCCUCUCUCUCUCCUGCGGAUUGGGCCUCUAAUGGACGGGCCGGUUACGGACAUCCAUCAUAUGAUUUAUAACAUUAAUAUAAAAUUUCACAUUUUAAAAUAAUUAUUCUUUAAAAAACAUUUAUUUAAUAUAUUUAUUAAUAAAAGUUAUAUAAACAAGGAUAAAAAUCUUACAAAUAUUAUUAUUAUCAAUAAAAUUGUAAAUUAUAUUACAUUUACAUAUAAUAAAUAACAUACCAACGUUGAAUUGACCCAGUGGUAAAGGGGCUGCGGCUGUAACUUCCACAACCCGGGUUCGGAUCGCGCUAGAAGAGACUAUUUACAAUGCUUGGGUUCUCGGCAAAGAGAUGAAAAUACCAUUUUUUAUAAUAAAUAACAAAAAAUGUAAUAUGAAAAACUAAAUAAAAAUAUGCCUUCCAAAAUUAUAUGCUCUAAGCGGUCGCUUAGGUGGCUUUCCCUCUGGAACGGUCCUGCGAGCAAGUAAAUGAGAGAGAUCCCUUUGACACCAAUUCUGAAUAGAAGAGUUUCAUCAACAUCAAUCCUGGUAGUAGCAUCAAUAUACAAUCAUGUGUAACUUACAUCCAGAUUCAUAACACUGUGUAACGUGUACCAGCUCUAUAAUGCAGUCAAUUAAUUAUGCAGAAUUCAUGGAAGUCGUUACACACCAAGGGAUCUUAUCUUACUGAAAAUGUUUGGUGUACGUCCCGGCCCCUAUGUCGUGAAAGAAACUAAAACACAUAUGGAUGAACAAAUAAAUAAGUUUAGGUUACGUUUCAACUUGUGAGAGGACCCAUAAGUAGUGUAAAAUCAAGGAAGACAUAAUUACGAGGCUGACCAUUUAGACAUUUGGUGAGUGGUAUAAACAAAACUGCCAUUAUUUUAAGUAUUGUCUUCUUUUCCCUCUGGAUUUCGAGAUAUUUACCCUCUCUGGUAACUUUAUAUAUUCUUUUUUCUACUUGUCAUACGGGAUGCAGGUGAUGGAGGUAGGAAAUAAGGAAGAGGAGGUGAAGCCGGAGAUGGUGGCAGGCCUGGAUGAUGAAGAUGGGAACUUGGAGUAUGAGAUGAUGGAGGAUGGUGUGGAUGAUGCGAGUUUAGAGCGAGAGUCAUCUGGUGAUUUAAACUCCAUGGAUGUUGAGGAAGCUUUUCCGAUUGAUGAAAAUGAAGACUUAGUAGGAGAGCAAGAGCACCAGGUCCCAAAGAAGAAGAAUGGGAAGAUCAUAGCUGCCGCAAUGGGAGGGAAUGCGAAGAAAAGACUUGUUCAGAGUUUUGUGUCUCCACGGAAGAAGGCAAUGGCAAAGCAAGCCAGUAAGGCGGGAGACAAGGGUCCAGUUCCCACAAAGAAGGCUUUGGUCAAGUCGAGACCAGACAAGGAUUAAUUUUUCCUGGUGUUUUCAUUUAAUUUAAGUUAUGAAUAAGUGUUGGGCUUUUGAUAUAAAGUCUCUGUUUUUUUCGUAUAUUGUUUUCUUGGUUUAAGUUGCCUCUGAUGAAAACCUUAUGCUUAUUGGCGAUAACUUGUUAAUCUUGUGGAGAGUAUUUUACUGUUAUGUAUAUAAAUUCUCCUUUUGUAAUUGUUUCGGUGAGAUUAUAAGUUCUCCCUUCUUGAUGGCCUGGGGGACUGGUGGAGUUGGAUUUUUGGAAUUAGCUUUUUAUGGGUCGCAAUUGUUGAUAAAGCAGGUGGCUGAUGAAACUAACUGUAUGUCUUAUUCUUUAUCUAACUGGUUUGGACGGGAUGUUUGUAAUGAAUCUACAAGUGCUUUACUAUUUUGUAUAUUCCAACAUAAAAUUCAUUCAGUUAUUACACAAAGGAAAGAAGGGGGAUACAUGUGGGAUUUGGCUAUAAAAGAUUAUCUAAUAGCACGGGUGGAGAGAUUUCUAAAGGAUUAUAUUCUGAGAAUGGGGUCUGAAGUGAUAUGUGGUAAUGGCUACAAUUAUCGUAAUGAGUUUAGCGAGAAAAUUUUCAAAAGAAUAUAAGGGAAUUGGAUAUGAAAAUUUUAAGUUGGAAUUGCCAAGGAAUGGGAAGUAAGUAUACGAUUAAUUAUAUGAGAGAGAUAUGACACAAACAUAGGCCUUCGUUUCUAUUUUUAUCGGAAAUAAAACAAAAUUUUAAUUUUGUUCAGAAUUUUCAAUUUCAUUUUGGUUAUAAAUGUUUGCAUACAGUAGAUCCUAUUGGGAGGAGUGGAGGUUUGGCUCUUUAUUAUAGCCAUGAUUCACUGGUUUCUAUAAUUUAUUCGAGUAAUCGAAUUAUAGAUAUUGAAACAAGCUAUAAGGAAAAGAAGAUUUUCAUUUCUUUGUAUAUGGGGAUCCGGUUCAGGGUCUUCGUGAUUAUGUUUGGGAACGCCUUACACGAAUUGGUAUAACUAGACUAGAACCAUGGUUUGUUAUUGAUGUGUCGAGUUUUAACCCGAUUAUCUAACUGCAAGUGCACAGUAAAGUACGCAGUAGUAAUACGGGAUCGAAUCCACAGGGAACGAUGAUCACACGUAGAGUUGCAGACAAGUUAAUAGCUACAGCGAAUCAAAAUAUAUUUUUGAUGGUUUUUAUUUAAUUUUCUCUAGUGUCACAAAGCAUAAACAAGCAUGUGAAAAGAUGAUUUAAACGAUUUGAAAACUAUUUUAAAACAAACGUUGGGCAUUGGGAAUUCUCAGGGAUUUCUUUUUAAUCAAGAUACAAUUAAUGGAAGACACAGGGAUAUAUUAAGAACCGUCUAGAACUCAAACACGAUAUUAGAAUUAACCUACUUCCGUAGCGCUAAUUCUCUAUGUUAUAGAAAUCUCCACACUAACUUCCGCUGAGUUUCAAUUUCUAAACAAGCAUUAAGAACAGGUUCAAUAUGUUCACAAAGCGCAAUAACAUCAACUUCCGAGGGUUAAGGACACUUUGCUCAUCUAAAGUAUUUUCGGAAGUUCAAACAAUCACUUUCGGUGCAUCAAACAAUCUGAAAUCAUGAACUAAGUGAUCAAUUCAGUUCAAGCAGUAAGAAAUCCAUUAGAUGAAGAACCAAAACGUAAUCCCUUAGUCUACACACGUUUUAUGGAUCAAAACAUCAAGAAAUCCCCUAUGAGAACCCCUAAACCCAACUAGAUGACUACUCACACAUAACUAAGCAAGAACAAAACGAUUUUGAUGAAGAAAACAUGAUAAGAUUGUAUUAAAACAGAGUAAAGGUUCAGAAGAUCUUCUCCAAAUGGUUUUGAGAUGAACUCCUUUACAAAUCUUCACAAAUCACACCAAAACAAGUACAAAACACUCAAAUCUCUCUCUAGAACUUGUAAAUCUCCUCCUUGGUCGCCCCUGGUCUUUUCUGAGUCACAAAGGUCGAGUUCUUCUCUGAAUUAUUGAGGGGAGUGGGUAAAAAGGAGUGAAAAGCUCGUUUGUCGAUGCAAUCACACACUUACAACACCCACUUUUUCUAUUUACACCUCUAGACACACAGGUCCGUGUCUAACCACCUAAAUGUUCCGAUCCUACCUAAGCAGUCGGAUGAACCAUGUCUACCCUAAUCUCUCCAUUGUUUUUGCACAUGUAUGCACAUAUGAUCAGUGUGUAAGAAUGCAUGGAGAUGAAAUAAAAGGGUAAGGUGUAGGUGAGGUACCAAACUAUUGAUGAGUCUGGCCAUUCAGGAUUAUUAAAGAGUGGUAAAAUGUGGUAAAGAUAAUCCUGAAUGUGUAUAUGGUGUACCGUUUCCUGAUGUUGAUUCCUGGUCAAAAGAAAUUAAAUUCAUUAAUGGUCAAAAAUAGUUGAGUCGACUACAAUUCACCGAGACUUGAUAAAAGAUUUAAGGAGAGGUUGUUUGGUCAAGUGGUUCCUCGGUUUGUCUGCGCUAACAGUCCUGAAAAAUGGUCAAUAUGAAAUGUAAUGCACAACACACAAGGAAAUAGUCUAAUAAUCAUCACAGGGUCUGAGAAAAACAAUUAGAGAGUAGAGAGUUUUUAAAACACAAAGAAAAUAAAAGAAAUAAAAGCAAUAUGGUACAUAAGUAGCAUCCUCCCCCAGACUUACUUCACACCGUCUCGGGGUGAAAAUAAUUCCAAGAGAGAUUACCGAUCAGGCGUUGCGGUCAGUACGCCUCUUGGAGCGCCUCUCCAAGGCUCCAUCAUCAUCAGAGUCCUCCGCUGCCUCAGGUCCAGCAGCGGUGUCGUGAGCGCCUGUGUCACACAUGUGUCCUGAGCGCCUUAGAUCGACCGAUCCAUACGUGUCGGAUCGACCGAUCUCGUACAUGGAUCGCUCGUUCUCUUUCUUUAGGAUCGAUCGAUCUCUGCCUGAUCGUGAUACAUGCGUGAAAAUCAUCUAAAAACACAACCAAAAAUCAAUUCACACAAGAAAACAUAAUCACAAAAGAGAAAGAAAAUCAAACCAUGUGGGUUGCCUCCCAGUCAGCGCUUGUUUAAAGUCGCGAGCCUGACUAUUUUGUUGUCCUUAGGCGAGAUCGGGUUCCGAUAAAGGAAUGUUGGUUCCUUCUUCGGGUUUUGCAUCUGUGAAGUAAGGUUUUAGCCUCUGCCCAUUGACGGUGAAUUUCCUCCCAUUGUCUUCCAAGACAACAGCUCCAUAAGGUCUAACCUCUGUGAUGGUGAAAGGUCCGGACCAACGAGACUUAAGCUUUCCAGGAAAUAGCUUGAGUCUAGAGUUGAACAGAAGGACUUUGUCUCCAGCAGCGAAGUCUCUCGGGAUUAUCUUUCUGUCAUGCCAUGCCUUAGUUCUUUCCUUGUAGAUUUUGGUGUUCUCAUAGGCGUUCAACCGAAUCUCGUCCAGCUCGUUCAACUGAACCAUCCUCCUUUCUGCUGCGGUUUUAAUGUCGAAGUUCAUCAACUUCGUUGCCCAAAAACCACUGUACUCCAAUUCCACAGGUAGGUGACAAGACUUUCCAUAGACCAGAUUAAAAGGAGUGGUGCCCAAGGGAGUCUUGUAGGCGGUUCUAUACGCCCAUAAGGCGUCAUCAAGCUUCACAGCCCAGUCUUUCCUUGUUUUGCCUACAGCCUUCUCCAAAAUCCCCUUGAUUUCUCGGUUCGAUAUUUCAACCUGCCCACUUGUCUGAGGAUGAUAAGGUGUAGCUACCUUAUGCUUUACUCCAUGUUUCUUCAGCAGUUUAUCGAACGUCUUGUUGAUGAAGUGAGAGCCUCCAUCACUAAUAACCACUCUCGGGAUCCCGAAUCUUGGAAAAAUGACUGUCUUGAACAUUUUCUUGACAACACUAGAGUCAUUUGUCUUGCUGGCUACUGCUUCCACCCACUUGGAGACAUAAUCAACCGCAACCAGGAUGUACUCAUUUCCAUAAGAAGAUGGGAAAGGGCCCAUAAAAUCAAUUCCCCAUACAUCAAAAACUUCAACUUCAAGGAUGAAAUUUUGGGGCAUCUCAUUUCUCUUACUGAUGUUGCCCUUCCGCUGACAUGCAUCACACUUUGAGACAAACUCAUGGGCGUCUCUGAAAAGUGUAGGCCACCAGUAACCAGCCUGCAGGACCUUAGAAACCGUCUUGAAUGUUGCAAAAUGGCCUGCGUAUUCUGAACUGUGGCAGUGGAAAAGAAUCCCUUGCAUCUCAUUCUCCAGAACGCAUCUCCUGAAUAAACCAUCUGAGCAUCUCUUGUAGAGGAAGGGAUCAUCCCAGUAAUAGUGGUUCACAUCUCUCAUGAACUUCUUCCUCUCAUAUCCCUUCAGGUUCGGUGGUUCAAUUCCAGCACAUAGGUAGUUUGCAAAGUCUGCAAACCAUGGGAGAUCAUCCUGAAUUUGUCUCAUGGCACAGCAAUCAGCCUGAUCCAAAUACUCAUCCUCCAGCAAGGUGAUCACAUAGACAUUCUCCUCGGGUAAUGUAUCAUCCAGUGGUGUUUCAGCUUCCACUCUCAUUCGGGAAAGAUGAUCUGCCACUCCAUUUUCCGCUCCUUUCUUGUCUCUGAUCUCAAUAUCAAACUCCUGUAGCAGUAAGAUCCACCUUAAGAGUCUCGGUUUAGCAUCUUUUUUCGUCAUCAGGUACUUCAAGGCUGCAUGAUCUGUGUGCACAAUUACUUUCGAGCCCACCAAAUAGGACCUGAACUUCUCGAAAGCAUAAACUACUGCCAGCAACUCCUUCUCAGUGGUAGCAUACUUGAUUUGAGCAUCAUCAAGCGUUCGGCUGGCAUAAUAGAUCACAUGGAGUUUCUUGUCUUUUCUCUGCCCCAAAACAGCUCCAAUCGCGUAAUCACUUGCGUCACACAUUAUUUCAAAUGGCAAGUCCCAAUCUGGUGGCUGCACAAUGGGAGCACUGACUAGAGACUUCUUGAGAAUCUGAAACGCAGCGAGGCAGUCAGCAUCAAAAACAAACUUCGCUUCUUUGCACAGCAGACGGGUGAGUGGCCUCGCUAUCAUAGAGAAGUCUUUGAUAAACCUCCUGUAGAAACCGGCAUGUCCCAGAAAACUCCAAAUAUCCCUCACUGUCCUAGGAGGCUGUAGGCUGGUCAUAACUUCAAUAUUUGCUUUAUCAACCUCGAUACCCUGCUCUGAUAUCCUAUGACCCAAAACAAUGCCAUCUUUCACCAUGAAAUGACACUUCUCCCAAUUUAACACCAAGUUCUUCUCCUCACAUCUUUCCAGCACCUUGCACAGAUUAGCAAGGCAGUCGCUAAAUGAAGAACCGUAGACUGAGAAAUCGUCCAUAAAAACCUCCAUAAUGUCCUCAAUAAGAUCAGUAAAGAUCGACAUCAUGCAUCUCUGGAAAGUGGCAGGAGCAUUGCACAAUCCGAANNNNNNNNNNNNNNNNNNNNNNNNNNNNNNNNNNNNNNNNNNNNNNNNNNNNNNNNNNNNNNNNNNNNNNNNNNNNNNNNNNNNNNNNNNNNNNNNNNNNNNNNNNNNNNNNNNNNNNNNNNNNNNNNNNNNNNNNNNNNNNNNNNNNNNNNNNNNNNNNNNNNNNNNNNNNNNNNNNNNNNNNNNNNNNNNNNNNNNNNNNNNNNNNNNNNNNNNNNNNNNNNNNNNNNNNNNNNNNNNNNNNNNNNNNNNNNNNNNNNNNNNNNNNNNNNNNNNNNNNNNNNNNNNNNNNNNNNNNNNNNNNNNNNNNNNNNNNNNNNNNNNNNNNNNNNNNNNNNNNNNNNNNNNNNNNNNNNNNNNNNNNNNNNNNNNNNNNNNNNNNNNNNNNNNNNNNNNNNNNNNNNNNNNNNNNNNNNNNNNNNNNNNNNNNNNNNNNNNNNNNNNNNNNNNNNNNNNNNNNNNNNNNNNNNNNNNNNNNNNNNNNNNNNNNNNNNNNNNNNNNNNNNNNNNNNNNNNNNNNNNNNNNNNNNNNNNNNNNNNNNNNNNNNNNNNNNNNNNNNNNNNNNNNNNNNNNNNNNNNNNNNNNNNNNNNNNNNNNNNNNNNNNNNNNNNNNNNNNNNNNNNNNNNNNNNNNNNNNNNNNNNNNNNNNNNNNNNNNNNNNNNNNNNNNNNNNNNNNNNNNNNNNNNNNNNNNNNNNNNNNNNNNNNNNNNNNNNNNNNNNNNNNNNNNNNNNNNNNNNNNNNNNNNNNNNNNNNNNNNNNNNNNNNNNNNNNNNNNNNNNNNNNNNNNNNNNNNNNNNNNNNNNNNNNNNNNNNNNNNNNNNNNNNNNNNNNNNNNNNNNNNNNNNNNNNNNNNNNNNNNNNNNNNNNNNNNNNNNNNNNNNNNNNNNNNNNNNNNNNNNNNNNNNNNNNNNNNNNNNNNNNNNNNNNNNNNNNNNNNNNNNNNNNNNNNNNNNNNNNNNNNNNNNNNNNNNNNNNNNNNNNNNNNNNNNNNNNNNNNNNNNNNNNNNNNNNNNNNNNNNNNNNNNNNNNNNNNNNNNNNNNNNNNNNNNNNNNNNNNNNNNNNNNNNNNNNNNNNNNNNNNNNNNNNNNNNNNNNNNNNNNNNNNNNNNNNNNNNNNNNNNNNNNNNNNNNNNNNNNNNNNNNNNNNNNNNNNNNNNNNNNNNNNNNNNNNNNNNNNNNNNNNNNNNNNNNNNNNNNNNNNNNNNNNNNNNNNNNNNNNNNNNNNNNNNNNNNNNNNNNNNNNNNNNNNNNNNNNNNNNNNNNNNNNNNNNNNNNNNNNNNNNNNNNNNNNNNNNNNCACAGCAAUCAGCCUGAUCCAAAUACUCAUCCUCCAGCAAGGUGAUCACAUAGACAUUCUCCUCGGGUAAUGUAUCAUCCAGUGGUGUUUCAGCUUCCACUCUCAUUCGGGAAAGAUGAUCUGCCACUCCAUUUUCUGCUCCUCUCUUGUCUCUGAUCUCAAUAUCAAACUCCUGUAGGAGUAAGAUCCACCUUAAGAGUCUCGGUUUAGCAUCUUUUUUCGUCAUCAGGUACUUCAAGGCUGCAUGAUCUGUGUGCACAAUUACUUUCGAGCCCACCAAAUAGGACCUGAACUUCUCGAAAGCAUAAACUACUGCCAGCAACUCCUUCUCAGUGGUAGCAUACUUGAUUUGAGCAUCAUCAAGCGUUCGGCUGGCAUAAUAGAUCACAUGGAGUUUCUUGUCUUUUCUCUGCCCCAAAACAGCUCCAAUCGCGUAAUCACUUGCGUCACACAUUAUUUCAAAUGGCAAGUCCCAAUCUGGUGGCUGCACAAUGGGAGCACUGACUAGAGACUUCUUGAGAAUCUGAAACGCAGCGAGGCAGUCAGCAUCAAAAACAAACUUCGCUUCUUUGCACAGCAGACGGGUGAGUGGCCUCGCUAUCAUAGAGAAGUCUUUGAUAAACCUCUUGUAGAAACCGGCAUGUCCCAGAAAACUCCGAAUAUCCCUCACUGUCCUGGGAGGCUGUAGGCUGGUCAUAACUUCAAUCUUUGCUUUGUCAACCUCGAUACCCUGCUUUGAUAUCCUGUGACCCAAAACAAUGCCAUCUUUCACCAUGAAAUGGCACUUCUCCCAAUUUAGCACCAAGUUCUUCUCCUCACAUCUUUCCAGCACCUUGCACAGAUUAGCAAGGCAGUCGGUAAAUGAAGAACCGUAGACUGAGAAAUCGUCCAUAAAAACCUCCAUGAUGUCCUCAAUAAGAUCAGUAAAGAUCGACAUCAUGCAUCUCUGGAAAGUGGCAGGAGCAUUGCACAAUCCGAAGGGCAUUCUCCUGUAGGCAAAUGUACCGUAUGGGCAGGUGAAUGUUGUCUUCUCUUGGUCGUCUGGAUGAAUGGGUAUCUGUAAGAACCCGGAGUAGCCAUCGAGAAAACAGUAGUAGGGGUGGUUGGCUAGUCUUUCCAGCAUCUGGUCAAUGAAAGGAAGUGGGAAGUGGUCCUUCCUUGUGGCUGAGUUUAGCUUCCUGUAGUCAAUGCACAUCCUAUGCCCUGUGACUGUUCUGGUAGGAAUCAGCUCAGCCUUCUCAUUUUUGAUGACAGUGAUGCCACCCUUCUUAGGAACCACAUGAACCGGGCUCACCCAAGUGCUGUCUGAAAUUGGGUAGAUCACCCCUGCACUCAACAGCUUUAGAAUCUCCUUUUUCACAACUUCCAUCAGUUUGGGAUUCAGUCUUCGCUGGUGCUCUAUGGACGUCUUUGACUCAUCCUCCAAGUGAAUCUUGUGCAUGCAAAGAUCUGGAGAAAUACCUGUAAUAUCAUCCAAAGAGUACCCCAAUGCUUUUCUAUACUUUCGCAAUUUUGAAAGAAGCAAAGCGGUCUCCACAUUAUUCAGGUUAGCACAAAUAAUAACAGGAUAUGUGGAAUUCGGUCCCAAGAAUGCAUACCUCAGCCCAGCUGGGAGGGCUUUAAGUUCCACCUUUGGAGCAUUCUCCUCACUCCAAUCUGGUUGGGGGAAUGACGGUUUGACGGUUUUAUCGGUGCCUGAGUCUUCAAGGCUGACAUAGGCGACAUGCUUCUCAAUCGGUGAGGCUGAAUCCAAAAUCUCAGAAAAUCCAACCACUUCUUGGUUCACGAACCCGAACUCACUCUCCUUUUGGGUCAAUGCGACUUGUAGAGGAUCAUCAGUGUGCAACUCUUCAUCCAUUUCCUCCACCAGUUCAGUCAAUGUAUCAACCCAGAAAGUCUGUCCAUCAAUAGUCGGAUUUUUCAGCACCUUCUCCACAUUGUAUCUCAUCGCCAUGUCUCCUAGACGUAAGUCUAUAUGCCCAUUCUGUACAUCAAUCAUGGCUCCAGCAGUAGCUAAAAACGGUCUGCCCAAAAUGAGAGGAUCUUUAGGUUCCUCUUCCAGCUCCAGAACUACAAAAUCGGUAAGCACAUAUCCCUUUCCAACACCAACAGGGAUGUUUUCUAGUACACCGACUGGUCUUCGCACUGAUCGGUCAGCAAGGACCAAGGAGACCCUUGUAGGUUUGUAGUUCGUCAUGCCUAGCCUCUCAGAGACAGAGAAAGGCAUUAGGCUCACUCCUGAACCCAGAUCGCAGAGACUCCUNNNNNNNNNNNNNNNNNNNNNNNNNNNNNNNNNNNNNNNNNNNNNNNNNNNNNNNNNNNNNNNNNNNNNNNNNNNNNNNNNNNNNNNNNNNNNNNNNNNNNNNNNNNNNNNNNNNNNNNNNNNNNNNNNNNNNNNNNNNNNNNNNNNNNNNNNNNNNNNNNNNNNNNNNNNNNNNNNNNNNNNNNNNNNNNNNNNNNNNNNNNNNNNNNNNNNNNNNNNNNNNNNNNNNNNNNNNNNNNNNNNNNNNNNNNNNNNNNNNNNNNNNNNNNNNNNNNNNNNNNNNNNNNNNNNNNNNNNNNNNNNNNNNNNNNNNNNNNNNNNNNNNNNNNNNNNNNNNNNNNNNNNNNNNNNNNNNNNNNNNNNNNNNNNNNNNNNNNNNNNNNNNNNNNNNNNNNNNNNNNNNNNNNNNNNNNNNNNNNNNNNNNNNNNNNNNNNNNNNNNNNNNNNNNNNNNNNNNNNNNNNNNNNNNNNNNNNNNNNNNNNNNNNNNNNNNNNNNNNNNNNNNNNNNNNNNNNNNNNNNNNNNNNNNNNNNNNNNNNNNNNNNNNNNNNNNNNNNNNNNNNNNNNNNNNNNNNNNNNNNNNNNNNNNNNNNNNNNNNNNNNNNNNNNNNNNNNNNNNNNNNNNNNNNNNNNNNNNNNNNNNNNNNNNNNNNNNNNNNNNNNNNNNNNNNNNNNNNNNNNNNNNNNNNNNNNNNNNNNNNNNNNNNNNNNNNNNNNNNNNNNNNNNNNNNNNNNNNNNNNNNNNNNNNNNNNNNNNNNNNNNNNNNNNNNNNNNNNNNNNNNNNNNNNNNNNNNNNNNNNNNNNNNNNNNNNNNNNNNNNNNNNNNNNNNNNNNNNNNNNNNNNNNNNNNNNNNNNNNNNNNNNNNNNNNNNNNNNNNNNNNNNNNNNNNNNNNNNNNNNNNNNNNNNNNNNNNNNNNNNNNNNNNNNNNNNNNNNNNNNNNNNNNNNNNNNNNNNNNNNNNNNNNNNNNNNNNNNNNNNNNNNNNNNNNNNNNNNNNNNNNNNNNNNNNNNNNNNNNNNNNNNNNNNNNNNNNNNNNNNNNNNNNNNNNNNNNNNNNNNNNNNNNNNNNNNNNNNNNNNNNNNNNNNNNNNNNNNNNNNNNNNNNNNNNNNNNNNNNNNNNNNNNNNNNNNNNNNNNNNNNNNNNNNNNNNNNNNNNNNNNNNNNNNNNNNNNNNNNNNNNNNNNNNNNNNNNNNNNNNNNNNNNNNNNNNNNNNNNNNNNNNNNNNNNNNNNNNNNNNNNNNNNNNNNNNNNNNNNNNNNNNNNNNNNNNNNNNNNNNNNNNNNNNNNNNNNNNNNNNNNNNNNNNNNNNNNNNNNNNNNNNNNNNNNNNNNNNNNNNNNNNNNNNNNNNNNNNNNNNNNNNNNNNNNNNNNNNNNNNNNNNNNNNNNNNNNNNNNNNNNNNNNNNNNNNNACGAUUUUGAUGAAGAAAACAUGAUAAGAUUGUAUUAAAACAGAGUAAAGGUUCAGAAGAUCUUCUCCAAAUGGUUUUGAGAUGAACUCCUUUACAAAUCUUCACAAAUCACACAAAACAAGUUACAAAACUCUCAAAUCUCUCUCAAGAACUUGUAAAUCUCCUUCUUGUUCGCCCCUGGUCUUUUUCUGAGUCCCAAAGGUCGAGUCCUUUUCCAAAUUAUUGAGGGGAGUGGGUAAAAAGGAGUGAAAAGCUCGUGUGUGCGUGUGGAGCCCGUAGCGCCUGAGAUCGGUCGAUCCACAUGGCCCGGAUCGGUCGAUCUCGUGUAUGAAAGCCUAGGAUCGGUCGAUCCACAUAUCCCGGAUCGGUCGAUCUCGUGCUCUGUGCGAUCAAUACUUCAUUCGGUCCAUUGUUCGGUCCAUCUUGCUUCUGAAUAAAUCCCGAAUGCGUUCUUUUCUUUCAAGCUAUCUAGUAACCUGCAUAUUACACUUAAGAACACCAAAACGCAUCAAAUAGACCAAAACAUUAAUUAAAACCGACCAUUUAAUUGCUCCAAAACGAGUUUAAAACCGUUAAAAACACGGAAUAUCAGUUAUUGGGGAUUUCAAUGAAAUAACUGGUAACCAUGAGAAGGAAGGGGGUGCGCUAAGACAUGCGUCUACUUUUGUACAGUUUAAUAAUAUAAUUGAAAAUUGUCGUCUUCUAGAAUUCCCGUCUUUGGGUAACACUAUAUCAUGGAGUGGGAGGAGACAAGGACAAACGGUUCGGUGUAGGUUAGAUCGGGCUUUAGGGAAUGUAGAAUGGCAUAAUCUAUUCCCGUACUCUUUUGUGUAAUAUUUGGGAAUGAUAGGUUCGAAUCACAUGCCCAUUGUUACAAGUUUAGAUGAGAAAGUAAUCAAAACAAGGAAACAAUUUCGUUUUGACAAGCGAUGGAUUGGUAUGGAAGGGCUUAUGGACUCCAUUUCGCAAGGUUGGUCUACGGAAAAUCCACGGUAUAGUUCGGGUAUUGUAGAUAAGAUUAUCAACUGUAGGCACGAAAUAUCGGUUUGGAGGAAAACUAAUCCUCCAUAUGGUAAGGAAAAGAUUAAUUCUCUUCAGAAGGCUUUGGAGGAAAUUCAGGGUGAUAAUACUAAAGAGUAUGAGGAGGUACUAGAAGCAUCCAUGAAACUAAAAGAGGCUUAUAGGGAUGAAGAACUUUUUUGGGAACAAAAGGGUAGAACGACUUGGCAUGCAAAAGGGGAUAGUAAUACAAACUUUUAUCAUGCUCUUGCUAAACAAAGACGGAUACAGAAUAAAAUCGUGGGGCUACAUAAUAGUGACGGUGAUUGGGUUACUUCGGAAGCAGGGAUAGAAGGGGUAGCGAUAGACUAUUUUAAAGAUUUGUUUUCAACGACAUCACCGUCGGGUUUUAAAGAAUUUUUAAAAGAGGUACCAACAUUGGUUACAGACGAUCAAAAUAGGAUUCUAACCUCUUGGGCCUCAGAAGAGGAAGUGAAAUUAGCUUUAUUUAUGAUGCAUCCGGAGAAAGCUCCGGGACCGGAUGGAAUGACGGCUUUGUUCUUCCACCAAUCAUGGUCAAUUAUUAAAAAAGAUAUUACGGAUAUGAUUAAUGAUUUUUCCAGGACAGGAUCAUUGGAUGAAAGAAUAAAUAUGACCAAUAUUUGUCUCAUUCCGAAGACAGUGCGGCCAAAUCGAAUGACGGAACUUUGACCCAUCAGUUUAUGUAAUGUGGGAUAUAAAAUUAUUUCAAAGGUGCUUUGCCAACGUCUGAAAAGGCUACUACCAUACCUAGUCUCAAAAACACAAUCAGCUUUUGUUUCUGGGAGGUUGAUUUCAGAUAAUAUUUUAAUUGCACAAGAGAUGUUUCAUGUAUUACGAACGAAUAACUCAUGUAAAGAGAAAUUUCUGGCUAUAAAGACGGAUAUGAGUAAGGCUUAUGAUAGAGUUGAAUGGCCCUUUAUUGAGGCUAUUUUACUAAAGUUGGGUUUCUUACAACGAUGGGUAUCUCUUAUAAUGUCUUGCAUCUCUUCGGUACAAUACAAAGUUUUAAUUAAUGGUCAGCCAAAAGGACAUAUUAUACCAAAUAGAGGACUGCACGCGACAGGGUGAUCCUUUGUCGCCUUAUUUAUUUAUUUUGUGCACUGAAGCACUAAUAGCAAAUAUUUGGAAGAAGGAAGAAGAAAAGUUACUAACUGGGCUAAAAAUUGCGCGCGGUAGUCUGGCAAUUUCACAUUUAUUAUUUGCUGAUGAUAGUCUCUUUUUCUGCAAAUCCAAUAGACAAGAAUGUGAGGUCAAUCUACAGAUUUUAAAAGAUUAUGAAAGAACGUCGGGACAACAGAUCAAUUUUUUGAAAUCAUCCCUGCAGUUUAGGCAUAAGGUACCAGAUUCAGUAUGAUUAGAGGUACAACAGGUGUUGGGUAUUACUACAAUAGGUGGCAUGGGAACAUACUUGGGAAUCUCAGAGAGUCUUGGUGGCUCUAAAACACAAGUUUUUGGUUUUCUCAAUGAAAGGGUUAAUAAUAAGGUCAAUAAUUGGACUCUCCGAUUUAUCACGAAGGGCGGAAAUGAAGUCUUAAUAAAAGCAGUAGCAUCUCCCAUGCCAACUCAUGUUAUGUCUUGCUUCAGUUUACCAAAAACGGUUACUAAGAAACUUACGAGCACAGUUACUCACUUUUGGUGGGGUGCAGCGGCAAUACAAAAGGCAUGCAUUGGUUUUUAUAGGACAAAUUAUGUAAGGAUAAAGCUGAAGGGGACAUUGGUUUUAGAGAUAUUCAGAAUUUUAAGACGGCUUUAGUAGCAAAACAGUUGUGGAGAUUAAUCGAAUUUUAAUACAGCUUUACUAGCAAAACAGUUGUGGAGAUUAAUCGACAAACUAAAUUCUUUUUUUGCAUGGGUUUUUAAAGGUAGAUAUUACCGAAAGUUAGAUCCUUUGGAUCCUAUCAGAUCAUAUUCUCCCUCAUAUGGGUGGAGGAGUAUCACAUCAGUUAGAUCUCUCGUUAAUAAAUGGCUAAUCAAAAGAGUGGAAACAUGUUCAACCAUUUCAGUCUGGAAUGAUCCUUGGAUCCCCGCUCCUCGCCUGAGGUUAGCAAUCCCAAAAUUUCCAAAUCAAUUCUUGAAUCCAUUACUUAAGGUGGAUGAUUUAAUUAAUCCAGUUGAUCUUUCUUGGAACCUGGAUUUACUCAACGCAUAUGUCCAUCAGGAUUAUGUGAGUACUAUAUGGAGUUUAGCCAUUAGUCGUAACCCUAAGCCAGAUUCAUAUGGUUGGCAUUUUACGGAUCAUGGUAGAUAUACUGUAAAAUCAAGCUAUCGGAUAGAGAAAUUAUAUCCUGAUAAGGGUACUCAGUAUAGGGAUAUGGGACCGGAUACAAAACCAUUAUUGGCGCACUCUUGGAAGUUACAAUGCUCACCAACAUUGAAACAUUUUGUUUGGCAAAUAAUUUCUGGUUGUUUACCGGUGUACAGGAAUCUUCACUCAUGGGGAAUCAAAUGUGAUAUGCAAUGUCAAAUGUAGGGGUGGGCAUUUUACCCGAAAUCCGAAGUGGCACCCGAACCCGAUCCGAAAAAUCCGAACCGAAAUCCGAACCGAAGUAGCAGAAUAUCCGAACGGGUAUUGAAUUAGGAGAGAUUGGAUAUCCGAACCCGAACAGGUAAUAUCCGAACCCGAAUGGAUAUCCGAAAAUAACCGAACAUAUGUAUAAUUAAUCUUAUAUUUCUAGUUUACAUCUCUCAUUUUAUAUAGAAUAUUUAUAUUGAUACUACACAUAUUUUAAUUUCAUAUCAUAUACAUACAAUUACGGAGAAAAUGAUUUUCUACUCACUUAAAAUGCAUGUCAAUCUUUUUAUUUCAAGAAUUAACAAAAACUUAUAUCAAAAAUUUAAAAACAAUAAUCAAAUUAAUGUCUUUUUAGUUUCAAAAUGUUAUGUCGAGAUCUAUUAACCAUUCAAUCUAUUAAAAAUAAAGAAAUUAGUUAAGUAAAAGUUAUAUUUUUAAAUACAAUAAAUUUGAGAAAUAAAAAUUUUAUUUUAUUUUUUCAAAAUCUAAAUAUCCGAACCCGAUCCGAAAUAACCGAACCCGAACUAAAAAUAUCCGAACCCAACCCGAAGUACAGAAAUAUCCGAACGGGUUUUACACCUCUGUAUCGAAAUACCCGAAAAUCCGAAAUACCCGACCCGAACUCGAAUGGAUACCCGAACGCCCACCCCUACUUCCACCUUUCUAUUUGUUGACUUAAAAACUUAAAACAAGAAUGGGCUAUAAGAAAAUUUAUGCGGACUCAGUUGUCAGUGGGCUUAAGUUAGCUAACAACUUCAUGUACAUUAUUAUGUAGCGGUGGGACUGAUCCAAAUAUCUGGAAAAUUUAGCGUAUUCGGAUCUGGAUCCGUGCUUUCCAGAUAUCCAUUUAAACGUCUUAUUAUUCAUUGAGUAUCUGUAUUUUUUUAAAUGAAAAAGUAUUUUUAAAAAAAUAUAUUAAAAUUAUAAUAUAACAUAUAAAUUAAAUAUUUAUACAAAUUUUAUAAAAUAUAUAAAUAAGAUUAUAAAAAUUAAAAUAUAAUAUUAUAAAACUAAUUUUAUGUAUAAAUAUUAAUAUAUUAACUAUAACUAUUACUAAAAUUUAAAAUUUAAUAUAUUUAGGAAAUUUGAAUCCGGAUAUCCUGACUUAAAUAUCAAGAUAUACAGAUCCGGAUCUGCAUUCGAUGGAUCUGACAUUUUACUAUCCUGAGACUCGCCGAGACAUCAAAGUUUCAAUUAGAAAGCAGCGGUUACCACAAUACCAUGCACUACAAACAUCCUACUAAGACCAUUUGGGUUAAGGAAAAGAGAUAGUAAGAACCUUCGAGAUAAUUGUGUAGUGCUAGAGGCUUGGGGAGAUCAUCUAAAUGCUACAAUUUUCGGAAGAGACUAACUACGUAAUUUCUAUUAACAACAUGCAUCAGUAUGGGACGAUAUGCAUGCAUGAUUAGAGGACCAUUAUCCCUAGCAACCCUAAUGGGUAUCUUAAUCACUUUUUUACUAAUGAAUAUGUGUUAAGCACUUUAUUUAAGAGCCUUCUAAUUUUUUGCCUCCAAUACAAAGUUUUUAUUUUUGGACUCUUAAAAUAUGAGUUUGACAAAGUGAUUAAAAGAGAAAAUGAGAGAAGAUGACUUUGGUGUGUUACAAGUCGAGAGAGAAGAUGAGUUUUGUGUUGUUACAAGUGGAGAGUGAAGAUUAUAUAAACAUAAGAAGAAGAUACAGAAGAGACAUAGACACAAGCAUAGUCGAUCAAAAAAAAAAGCAUAAGACACAAGCAUAUGCGCAGAACCAUAACAAGAACAUAUGAGAUCAGCCCUGUUCGGGACGAAGACGUUGCGUCAAGCGUCCAGCAAACAGAAAAGCACAGUAACAACGGCAAUUGACUUCAGAUUUUCGGCAACGAUGUGAGAGUUUGGACGCUAGCGAUUGGCUGUUGACUUAAAGUUUCCGGAAACGAUGACGUUGUUAAUUCCAGCUUCCCAAAGCAUGUCUAAUCUAAAGCUUGAAAUGAUUACUGCUACAACAGAUGGAGAAAUGCACAGAGCCUCUGAUAUCACAACAAAAUUAAGGGCUGCAGAAUGAGAAAACAAGAACCAACAAAGCUACAACCUUUUUAAACCAAGAAGAUAAGUACUAACUACAACUUUAAAGAAAACAAGAACCAACAAAGCUACAACCUUAAAGAAGAAUAAUCGUGUACGUCACCAGACCCAUCUCGGUAAUUUCGUCGAGCACCUUGUAGGCACUCUCCACAUCGUUCUUCUUACACAAAGCUUUCACGAGGAGAUUACAAGUGAAGACGUUGGGAGUGAUUCCAAAAGACUCCUUGUUGUUCUAAACAUGGAGUGUACCAGAUCGAAUCUCCCGUUCGAGAUCAAUCACGUUUUGGAAUCAAAGCCAUCUGAUUUCACGGGAGAGAGAUUGAGAUGAGAGAGAGGAGGAGACUUCCGAUGUCUGACGCGUGUCUCAUAAGAGCCGGUGCUUCCUAUUCCUAAUUAAGCAACGGUUCUUCAUUUAAAAGGUAAUUUUCUUUUUUUUAAAAUCAAAAUUAAUCUAAGCAAUCAAUCCUGAUAAUCAUGCUCUUAUGAACCUAAAAGUCCAAAGUUUAGUCCAAUGGGAUUUCAACUUUCGGGGGUAGACGGUGAAAACUACUCGCCGUAGGAGAAGCACACGUUUGGAGUGUCUUUGAGACGCUACCUAGCUCGCGUAGAAGUAGAUUGGCUUACACGUAUUGCUAAAUGCUAUUCGAUAAUGAGCCAAUACGUUAGACUCCAAAGCUUAAAGUUCUAAUCAGCUUAAGCAUUCUAGGUCAGCCGAUUACCGAUAUUAUAUCGGCGAUAUAUAUAUAUAUGCUCUAAUUCAGAGAUACAUUUUGCCCAGACCGAAGCCCUACGAAAACCAAUCCAAAAAAAUACAAAUUCAGUUCAUGCUAUGAAUCUACACAAAAGAAUAUGUUGGGUACUCUUUUGGUUGGAGCCCCGGGCCUCGAUUCGGGUUCGGAUCCAGAUCCUAUGUAAUGCCCGACGGAAUAUCCAAAUUGUUUGGAAUUUUUUCCAUAUUUAUAUUUGUAUAUUUAGAUAGUCAAGAUUAUUUUUUUGGUAUAUGUACAUUUUAAGUUUCAGGUUCGGAUUUUUAAAUAUAGUUUCAGAUUUAAGAUAGAUUUUUUGAUUUUUGAAUAUAUAUAUAUAUAUAUAUAUAUAUAUAUAUUAGUAUUUUCAAAAAAAUGGAUAUUCAUUCUGAUUAGUUUUAGAUUUUGAAAUGUGUUUUAAUUCAAAUAUAGUUUAUGUAUUUCAGAUCUUUUUGAUCCCAUAUAUCAAAACCGAUUUGAAUCCGGCACACAUUUGAAUUUUAUCGGUUACUUAUAAAUAUUUAAUUAUAUGAUCCGAACUAACCAAAAUUCGAUUGAAACUGAUCCAAAAUAAAACAGAAAAAUUGAGAUGCCUAUAUAUUUUCAAAUAUCUGAAACAUGAAAAAUUCAAGAUAGAAAUCGUUACAAACAUUAUCCAAAGAUCCGAAAUCAUGAUUUGGUGCACACUUUUAAUUAAAAAAUAUCUUGUGGUGUGUGCACAGUAUUAAACUAUUAAUGAGAUGAAAAGACAUCAUACUGAGUUUAGGUUGCUUUACUUUUCACUUUGUAAUGCAUACUUCUAUACUAGAAAACUUAGGAUCCUUGUAAAUAAUUGAUUGAGUACCAAGUAGUCAUAAUGAGAGAUAGUCCCCCUCAAUAUUUAUACUCAUGUUUGGAUUGGAUUUUUUUUUUCCCCUGUCUAUAUCGCAUGUAAACUUUUAUACUUUAUAACUAAUCAUAAUAAAAAUAAGACGUCCCACACUAUUUAUUGAUUUCCUACUUAUUACUAUAAACAUGUGAGAUAAAUAUUAGAAGAAAAGUAAAAAAUGACAAUUGAUCAUAAUAAGUAAUUUACCAAAUUCGACCUUAUAAUGACCUUUUUACCCAUUAGCUCCACUAUAUAUACACGCUCUUAAUACACAUAUAUUCGAAUCUGUGUGGUUUUAUUUCGAAGGAUUUUGAAAUAUUCCGUUACCGUAUUUUGACAUUCUUUCCUUUAAAUUCCGGAUUGCUUGGGGUUAUAAGGUUGGGAUUUCCUUGUGGUGGAUUCGAAUUUGGAACGUGGAAAAUGGCUAAGGAGUACAAGGAGGCGUUGUUGGAGAAGCACUACCACGAGGGAUGUCCUGGUUGCAAGGUGGAGAAGAUGAAGGAGGUCCGUCGAGGAUAUCCUUACCUGGAGCUCUCCUUCAUCUGGAUCGUAAUACUCUCCACAUGUAAGUUUGUCUUCCUCUUCUUUGAUGCAAUUUUGCUGCUAAUGAUUUGGAUCAAAAAUAACCUUUCGUGGGCUAUUUAGUAACGAUUCUCUAAGCAAAGCCUCUCAUAUGAAUUUUCUUGUGUGUUGUGCAGCUCUUCCCAUUUCUUCAUUGUACCCCUUCCUCUAUUACAUGGUGAGUAUACAGAGCUUCUUAGUUUCUUAAGAUACGAUGUUCUUUUUGUUGUCACUCUCUUACGUGCCUCUGUUUUCACAGAUUGAAGACUUCGGUGUUGCCAAGACAGAGAAAGACAUUGGAUAUUAUGCUGGCUUUAUAGGUGAGAUUAUAUAACUUGUAAGUUUGUGCAUUGUUGUCUCUCAAUUAUCUCUCUACUGAUUUGAUGUCCCUUUUUGUGACUUACAAGCGUGCGCAUUCAUGUUUGGACGAGCACUGACAUCAAUUUUCUGGGGAAUAAUGGCUGAUCGAUAUGGAAGAAAGCCUAUCAUUCUCUUGGGAACCGUCACAAUGUGAGUGUACUUUCUUUUUACUGUUUUAUCUCUCGUUUUUUUUUUCUAACUAACUGGCUUGGGUGGGUGGCUAUUGCAGUGCUGUGUUCAAUGCUCUAUUUGGCAUGAGCACGAACAUAUGGAUGGCCAUUGCGACUAGGUUUAUGCUUGGCAGCUUUAACUGCCUUCUUGGAACCAUGAAGGUUGACACUCUUAACUCUUAGCUAUAUAUAUAUAUAUUAUUUUUUAUUUUUAUUUUUUGUUCUUCAUACAAUUGUCUUUUCUAAUAUUAUAGUGUAAAAUUUGUAGGCAUAUGCUACGGAGAUCUUCCGUGAAGAAUACCAAGCGACGGCAAUGUCAGCGGUCAGCACGGCUUGGGGAAUUGGCCUCAUCAUUGGCCCAGCUCUAGGAGGAUUUUUAGCACAGGUAAAGUUUGAUCAUAAUUAUCUGUCUAAUUACUUGAACCCUGUCCAUCUCUCCUUCGGAUCAUUUUUUGCUGUCUGGUUAACGCACAUUCAUUGUUCUCAGCCUGCAGACAAAUAUCCGAGUGUCUUCUCCAAAGAAUCCAUCUUUGGCAGGUUGGUUUUAUUAAUAUCUGUUUAGUGUAAUGUGUAUAAUGCAAUACUCAUGGAACUGCAAUGCAGGUUCCGUUAUGCCUUGCCUUGUUUUACGAUAUCAGCUUUCGCACUGGUCGUGACAGCACUGUGCUGUUUCAUUCCGGUAAUCUAUUAUUCCUUCAUUGUCUAGUCUUCCUUUCUAAAAAAAGAUACUAUUAUUACAUUUCUUAAGAGUUCUCUAACGGGUGUUCUAUGUCUAUAUUACAUUUCUUAAGAGUUCUCUAACGGGUGUUCUAUGUCUCUUAGGAAACACUGCACAAUCAUAAGCUGGACAACACUUCAGAUGAUGACUCAAUCGAAGUACUUGAAGCUGCAUCUCUUGAAUCUACCGGGAAGACAGGAAACAACAAAAAGGGGUCUCUGUUGAAGAACUGGCCCCUCAUGUCAUCUAUCCUAGUCUAUUGCGUUUUGUGUCUGCAUGACACAGCGUAUUCUGAGGUAAUAAAGGAACUAGCAUUAAGACUUUAGGCUUUUGGAAUUUAUAGAUCCUUCAUAGGGUGGCUUGUGCUCUUAGUCUGAACAAAAAAUCUUAAUCACUGCUGCAGAUAUUUGCUUUGUGGGCAAAUAGUCCUAGUAAGUACGGAGGUUUGGGAUACUCAACGAAUCAUGUUGGUACUAUUUUAACAAUCUCAGGUAUGUCUUAUCAUUUCAUUGCUUUUCUUCAUAUCUCGUGAGUCUGCUUUAACUUGAUUUUUAGUACGUGAGUUAAGCAAGACAUUUUGUUUUAGGUCUCGGCCUAUUUGCUUUUCAGGUCAUCCUUUAUCCAUCAGCCGAGAGACUGCUAGGAGCCGUGCUGCUCACCCGUUUAGCUGGGGCACUGAUGAUACCUGUUCAGUUGAGCUACCCCUUUAUAGCUCAUCUCUCAGGUGUCAGUAGAAGCAUACUAUUGAGUUUUGCUUCUAUCCUAGUCAAUGUAUUCAGCGUAAGUAGUUUUCUUUACUUCUCCAUUGCGCAUGUUAAUACAUUGCUUUGACACAUUUGAUUUCUGUGUGUGUAGGUCUCCGCCAUAACCGGCAUGGUGAUUCUGCAAAACCGAGCCGUGGUAUGAUUCUUCAUCUUUUCCAGUUUUGUUUUCACUAAUUAAUAACUCUCUAACUCUUACGAAACAACAGGAUCAGCACCAGAGAGGUGCUGCCAACGGACUUGCGAUGACUUCCAUGUCACUCUUCAAAACCGUUGGACCAGUUGGUGCUGGAAUACUGUAAGUCAUUUCUCCAUUUAACACACAAAAUAGAUAGGUUUUCAUGUCUUAAACUAACUAAUUUUUUUUUUUUUUGCUUGAUAGUUUUUCUUGGAGUGAAAGGAGAAAAGAUGCUGCUUUCUUACCAGGACCCCACAUGCUCUUCUUCUUUCUUAACCUGAUGGUUAUUGUAGGAGUAUCUCUUACCUUCAAGCCCUUUCUGGUCACAACUAGAAGGUGAACUUCAGUGAAAGUGGUGCUAGGAAAUGUAUGGAUUCGUGGUUGCUUCCUUUUAGUUCUAGUUCGAAAUAAACCAAAGGAUUUCCAGUUUCUUUAUUUCCUUGUCUUGUCUGAUUGAAGUUAUCGGUUUGCUACUGUAAUCAGAUUUCCUUCGGUUACCGUUUUAAUAUAAACUAGACUUUGAUCCGCGUUAAUUUUUCAUUUUACAGCUUUUACUUCAACCCCUGUUCAGAAACGCGCUAGGCGUUAAUCGGGCGGUAGGGUUGGGCCUAGCACAUAAAGAGAAAAUCGGAGAUUAGUCGGAAAUUAUACGGGGCAAAAUUUUUAAAUGGUUUACUAUGUUAUAAAACAUGUUAAUCUUUAAUUGUGUAUAACAUUAAUACAUUUUCAUGUUUAAGAUUGGUAGGCGACCGAUUUUUGAACAUAGAUUUCAACCACUCUUUCAAAGUGAAUGAAAGCUCUCUCCGACAAAGUGAUGAUUUAAAUGAAAGCUCUCUCCGAACAUUGGUUGUUCAAAUAGAUUUGGUUAUAAAGAAGCUCAAACAUAUAUUGGAUUUGGUUCUGUACAAAUACACUCAGUGCUCUCCUUUGUGGAGGUUAUGGAGGAUAUAGAGAGAAGCAGAAGAUACAUUACAAACGGAAUAACUUAGCAAAUCAAGUCCAGUGGCGAUGGUAACCAUCUUGCUUCUUUCGAACAUCUAGGAUCAUGACAAUAACAUGUCCAACUUUGGUUUUUGAGCUCAUCAAGCGAGCUGAUCUUCAUCCAUUUUGGUCUCUCCUUCAUGGCAAACAUUCCGAAUAGAGAAGAGGCUUUAAGGGCACGAUCGGAUUCAGGAGGGAUAUCAGAAGGGGAGUUGCUGAAGAAGAAGUCCAUACAAACCCAUGCUGAAUAUUAGCAUAACUGUCCC
rnacentral:lncRNA from 1 species